rnacentral:lncRNA from 1 species
UUAACUAAUUCUUCUCUUCUUGAUUACUCUUACUCCGAGCCUUACCAUUAAGUUGUUUCUUGCUCUAGUAAAGUACUAUAAGUAAACUCAUUCCAUUCUUAAUAAUUCCACCAGCUGCUCUUUACUGCUACUCAGGUGUUUCACUCUGACUUGUUGAAUUCCUAUACGAGGCUCUGGUAGGAUGGCGAACACAGGACUUGGCUCUCACUGGUAGAACUUACUAUUUCAUGAACUUACAAUAAGAGCGCCCUUAGUCUUACUUAGUUGCUUGGCCCUUGCUUUUACUACUAAACCCUAUAGAAGUUCCCGGUAUCCUUGCCAAAAUACCUGUUCUUAGAAACCCUUACUGACACCGAACCUUGCUUUACAACCUAUUAGUCUGCUUCUCCUUACCUUUUUUCUGAAAAUAACCUUACCGAGCUAUACCUCUGAUUCUUAUUUAAUAACCUUACCGAGCUAUACCUCUGAUUCCUUAAUUCUGGAUUGAGUUUCGACUGCUGAGUCUGUUUCCACUGAGUCCGCAUUGCAUCUUGCUUCUGUAAAGGAAGCAGUAAACCCGAACCCCACUUUAUUGUAUUUCUCCUACAGCAAUUUACUUAAGGGCUUGAAAUCAAUCCACAUCUACUUUUUGACUUACCGCUUCAAAGCCAGUAACUUCUCCAGCAGACUUACUUUCUAUUUCGAUUUCUCUGGGUUCCUUUAUACUAUGGAUUAUCUUGCUUCUGCUUUAGAUCCUUCUUCUAAUCCUUAAUCUGCAAAGACUCAUAACUACUUACUCUACGCUCGGGCAAACAGCCUCUUCAGAGCCGUAAGCUCGAUCUGGAUCUGCUUUAACUGCUUCCUUUCCUUACUUAAUUGACACUACAUCUUAUCGAGUCGACCUUCACUGGCACAGCGGAUUCUCCUACCUCAUAUCCGGAUCUCGUAUACUAAGAGGCGGGGGACAGGACGUAUACAAGGAGGCGGGACAGGACAAUUAGUGACCCACUUAAGGCUGCACACCCCUAUAUUAUAGAAAAUCCGUCUAGUGACCAACAGAACAGAUGGUGUUAUCGACCCGACCUCUAAUAGACCCGAGCUCUGGCAACGAGUACUAAUUCUUAUCCGAUACCUCUGGCAACAAAGUCGAUACUUUCUUCUUUCUUUCCUAGUAAAAUAUAGUUUCUUUAAUAAGAUAAUAAUUCAUUUAGUAUGCUUUCUUAUACUGUGUCUGUACUGAGUGGAUACAUGAGAAAUCUAAGUCGUCUUUCUCAAGAAUGAAGUAAUUAUGCCAGUGUUAAGUCGACUCGAGACUCCUUCCCAAAAUGGAACCAAUAUAUCGGGUGAUUGGUGCGAUUUCGCUCGGUGAGACGUCGGGCCAUUGGUGCAUUUUGUCGUGUGAUUGGUUCAUUUUCUGUCGUGUGAUUGGUGCAUUUUCUUAGCUCUCUCGAAACUAAACUCAACUCCCCUUUCCGACCUCCACUCGUCUUUAUUUCUUAUGAGACCGAUAAGGCUAAUAGACCUAUGGCAACCUUACCUCGUAUUCUUAUGAGCUGGCUUUCUCAUCCACUCUUAGUCUUGGUAAUAUGAGUGGAAUUCUUAGUCUAUCAAUCCUAUUUCCUUAAUAAUAACAGAGAUUUUUCACCUCUCGGCAAGUAACUACUAAUGUGUAGCGGCAGUGAGCUACCCCCUUUACUGAGUGUAUACUGUGUUAGCAGAGAGGCAAUUACAUUUUCUUUUCUGCUUUAUUUAAUAUUUCAUUUGAUCAUUUCUUGGAUUACAAUACCCUAGCCCGACCCUACCUAGUAUGUCUAGUCCACCCCACAAAGUUAGUAAACAACACUACCCAAACCCUAACUAGCAAGUAAGUUGACCACCCUAACAAGAAAGUCCGUUUACCACCCUAACAAGCUAGUAAGUAAGUCUUCCCCGAACUCCUCUCUUAUAACAGAAUUAGGCUAAUCUAACUCUUUCUGUUCUCUCCUCUUCCCUGUCCUGUGUUCAUCGCCUCUUGCUUAUUUCCUUCUCUUCUUUUCUUGCCAGUCAAUACAGUCGCCUUUUCCUGCGUUGCCUGUUCCAUGCUCUUUAUUCCACUCCUGCUUAUAUCUCAUACCAUACCUAUCUUCUCAUUAAGUAUCUGAUCUAGCUCCUGCUUAUAUCUCAUACCUAACCUAUCUCCUCAUUCAGUUUCUUAUGUCAUGUCAUCCUAUACAAAGAUAGAUCAAAUUCACCACUCGCCAAGUAACUACGGAAGGAAAGCUAUCAAACAGAGGAUAAGAAUUAAGGUAUAACUACAUCCAUAGUAUAGGUAAGAAAGAAGUAAACUAGUUAGUGACUUAGAGUAUUGCUAAGGUUAGCUUGUCGGUUCUAAUUGGUUAUGCAGAAUCAAGUACUGGCCUGGCCUCUCUCUUUUCUUUAGAAAUCAAUUAAUAGCUUCCCGAGCCGACAUCGACUCUGUCUCUUUGAACUCAAACAAAACAGCUUUCCCACUCCUCUGUCUCUUAUCAUCUAACUCUGUAAACUCCCAAGCUAUCUUCUUUGGCAACUCGGUCUUCAACAAUCACCAGAACAGGACAACUACUUAAAGGGGCAAUAACCAUACUGGAAUAGCUUACCAAGCCGACCCGACCUCCAUAACUGCUUCCCUUUCUGACCCGCUUGCAGAUGACUCCCCCAAUGAAUAGUUGCCAGCAUCAGCAUAGUAUUCAUUCCUAGAAUGCGAUAGAUCAUACCUUGACUUAAUAUAUACUUAGGGGUAAUGCGCUACAUCUAUCCCUUACUUGUCUUAUUCUAACUAUAAGACUCUGGAAAGACAAGAACUCCACUUUACUUCCACUAGAAACUAUGAAUUCCCCUGCCCUCCUUAUAGCCUUGUAUCUUAGACUCUAUUCUUAUCCAACCUCUCGCUAACCUAGCACUCCUUACUUUACUAAUUGACAAUUCCAGUUUUCGUUCAGCCAAGUCACGACUAGACGCCAAGUCACUACAAAUGUUCUCUGGUCUGAAACUCUUCAACUUAAUAUAGGGCUGGAACAGGAGUCACUAUUGAAUACCUUAACUCUUGACUCCUAUACUAUAUGUGCUUAGUUCCAUUCUUUUAUUCUACACAAGGAGUUGGUCUCCUACUUUAUGACUUCUUAGUAUCAUUCUCACUUUCUAACUGGAACUAGCCCUAGCCCUGGACUCUUAUCUAACCCACCUGCAACAGGCUCUACUCUUUCUACAAACAGGACCAGACCUCUACUGGAAGGGAAAUGUAACUGUAAACUCUUCCUGAACUUGGCUUGAGAACUGCUUCUAAGUAGAACUUUACUAUCCAAUUCUUAGAGCUAGAGCACCGAACCUAUAAACUACUUAUUGCUACCUUGCUUCAAGAUUCUAUCUGACUUGCGGAAUUCUGCAUUCUGACUUGCUUCACUCUGGCUCUGUAAACGACUACUGAUUCUACUACUCUACCACUAGUUCAACAACUCUACUACUUGUUUGGUAUUCCACUCGCCAACAACAGGCUCUGCUCUGUCAACUAAUACAGAUGCAACUACUCCACUACACCUCAGUCAACUCAUAAAGUUGUUGCUCAGGACUACUAUCUUCUUACCUUAACUCGGCUCUCAACUCUACAACUACAGGCUAGGCUCCGUCUUAUCCUCUACUCAGGCGACAAAUACUGUGAUGGCAACUUACUAUAAGGACUCUGGACUACUCUACUGGUUGAGGCUGUAAACCCAGCUCCAUCCUCUGAUUCUCUUUCUUACCUUGCAGACCUCCUAAACAGCUUCCCUUUUGCUUACUUAUUAGUUGCAGACCGGGCCAACUAACGACUAGACAGGUACAGGAACAGGAACAUACAAUUCUUUAGCUUCUACUUCAAAACUCAAAUAUCUCUUUCCAACCUCAACUCUCACAGCAGCUGAUCCCACGCCAACUCAUUCUACUGGCUUUACUUUAGAACAGGCUAUUCUUCUAUCUAUUACUUAAAGCUAGAGCACCAACAAAGGAUUACUUGGCCCCUACUAAAUCAAGGGCUUAUCUCACCCAAGAUCAGAAGCAGCCCGACCUGACCUAAACAAAUAAAGAAUCCAACAAGGCAGUAACAGAUUGAAAUAAGGCUAUAUUAGUUUGAUAGGCAAAACAGGACCACUACCCGACACAAGUAAGUAAACUACCCUCCCUCCCCUUUCUGAAUCGACAACGAGGUAUUAUAGUGGACAAAACCGAUUAGGAAUUCAACCAUAGGCUCAAGUAAGGUCAUCUGCAAGCUUAGAAGCGGGAAGGAAAGUUGAGGUAAGGUAAACAAACAGAGCAAAGCAUUGCUUCAAGACUCUCUCACUACUACACUCAGUCGACGAAAACCAGACUUGUUCACAGAACUCAUAAGCUAACGCGGAGUUGAGUUGAACAGACGUAUAGGUUCAACAACUUAGAUAAAGAUGAAGUUCAAGCCAGAUUUAGUGCCUUUUUAAGCGCUUUGUACUGAAUGAAUACUAGUUUCUUCAAGUCCACCAAGGAACUGCUAAUGACCAAGUUAAGAGCUCCUGCCGCGGAACACGAACAAAGGAACUGAGGAAGGUGAACACAGGACUACUAACUACUGGGACAACAACUACCGGUCUGAAACUCUCCCUCGAACAGGAGCAAGCAGUACUAAAGGGAUUCCACUCCUAACCCCUGGGAUGAAACUACUCCACUACCCUAGGACUCAAUAUCUUUCAACGUUGUAAGGCCACUCAUCUCCAACAACUGGAUCGGAUACAGAUGAACUUCCCGCUUCAUCGCCAACAGAAACAUCUGACUUUCACUUUCGCACAAGAACUCCACUUUCAUAACAGACCUCGAAUAGCAAAUAGAGAAAAAUCAUUCAACUACCUGAAUUCUUAUCUAUGGAUCUGGAACAAGACUUUCAACAGCAUCUGAUCUCGGAGACCCCACUCUUACAGCAGCGGAUCCUGUAUCUCAAAAGCCACCUUUCUUUCCUUCCCACGCCAACACAAGACUUGGUAAGCUAUCACUGGAAACACCGGAGUCAGAAUGAAACUAAGUAGUCACAGAAUUCAACUAACACAAAUAAGAGUAAGAAGGAAACAACUGUUCCACUCGGUAUUCAACCAGAAAAGAAAUCUACUUGUCACCGGCAAGCUACUAAGAGACCCCAAACUCUACUCUAAGUUCAGAACCACUUCUAGACUACCUCCCCUCCGCUCUUGAAACUCCUUCUAUUCCCGCUUCCCUCGCUACUUUAGUAACAGACUUUAGAACAGCUUCCCCGGCUUCUUCUCUUGUUCCUAUAGUUGCUGAUGAUCUUUCUUAUGAUUGAUCUUAUGCUUUGGCCUCUGCUUCCCAUACAGGCACCGCAGCUGUCAACUAAUAACAGAAUGAGGCUCUCCACUCGGAGAAUUAAUACCUGAUGUACCAGAUGCUUACUACUAGAAUGGAGUUGAUUACUAUAAGAAUGGAAUUGACUACCCAAUGAACUAGCAAUUACGACGUAUAGGGCCUAAGAGUUCAAGUCUAAACUUCCAUCUACACCUGCAUUGCUUAAAACAAGCACCCGAACCUACCUUAACUCUGGCUCUGGCUCUGGACUACUAUACAACACCUCCGGCUUAUCUAACUCAAUUGGUUUUCUACCUUAAGCGGAUAGCGCCCACUGAUUCUCUCUACCGCACAAACAGGAUUUACCCUUUCCGAACUCUUAACUUAUUUCAUUGCCUGUUUCCCCUGCCGAUUCCUCUGAUCUUGUAUGGCUACCUAGACCUAAGUAAACUAAGUGAUAUGGAUCUAAACAUCAUCCUAUAUUAAGUGAUAGUGGUUUGAUUCUACUGGGUGUAUAGAGCGUGUGUAUAGCUUCAAUUCCAGUCUAAGCUCACUGCUUCACCUUCUUUUGAAUCUUAUGAUACUUGACCUGGCCCGGAUCGGAUUCUCUUUCUUACCGAACAGACUUACUAUACCUUAUAACCUAUAUUGCCUUACUUAUAUACCUUAUAGGAGCAGUGGGGAUACUUUCUGGAUUUCUUUCUUAUAUAAUGACUUUUUCACUCACACUGUUUCCUUACUUAUGUGAAGAAUAUCUUCCCGCAGAAAAGCCUUUACUUUACUCUGCCCCGCCCUCUAAUUGGAAUGAAACAAGUAAGUAUGGGAGACAAACAACUCCCUUUCUAUUAUUUGAUCACUGGCACCCGGCACUUGACCUGGACCAGAUUCUCUUUCCUCCCGCGCCUACCUCCCUCGCCUCUGGCUCUAGCACUAACUGACUUAUAUAAUAGAACUGAUGAAACUAUAUAAAUGACUAUUCAUUACUAAACUAAGCAAGAUCGGGUGAGGAAGCUUUAUCAACCGAAUCGAGCAGUUACAAGAUCUGGCUCUUCAUAAGGAAAGGAUAAGAGGUUGACAUUAGUAGGCUUGAGCUCCUGCCGCCAUAACGGAAUUAGGACAUAUCAAUUAGCUGCAUUGCUUCUUGACUCCUGAUGAACUUAGUGCUUUGCUUCAAAACACCCAUCACUCUCUUGGUGCACUUCCGCUUAUACACCUAUAACUACCUUGGUGCGCUUACACUUAUGAGUCUCGGGGCUUGUUCCCUUGCUUUAAGAUCUUUGUCCAGUGCCCUUACUUAAUUAAUGCCACUAAGAUAUUUGGUGAAAAUGCAUUCGUUGGACAGUUUAUUAGUUUCAAUGAAGGAUUGGUAAUAAAACAUAAGAAGUGAUUCAAUAGCUCCUUUGAAGCCCCUUUCUUGUCAGGUAAGUAAGCAGGAUAGAAGGCCUCAGGUAAGUAAGCAGGAUAUUAAGCCAAAGAAUCCCCAGUGUAAGUUCUAAAGUGAGGGAAUGGAUAUUACCAAUCUGACGCAUCUCUACUUUUCUUAUGCAUUGUUACUGAGUUAACUAGUAUCUUGUCUAUCGCAUCUAGUCUUAUGCUAUGACCAAUCUUAUGCUAUUCUUAUGCUAUGACCAAUCUUCUGCAAUUAGGCAAUAAGCUAUAAGAGCAGGUUAUGACCCAUCUGAAGCAUUUAGUACUAAGAUACAGAAUUCCACUCCUCCUCGUAGCCUAGCUUCUUUGCUUGCAGCUGACCUCUUUCUUACUUGCUUGUUCAACAAAGAAUUCAUCUAUUUCUAUUUCCACUCCCGGUAGUCCUGCUCGAGUGUGAGUUUGAUCCUAUUUAGAAGCAGUGCCAGUAAAGGAGUUCAAUCAGAUCUUUUAACUGCCUACAGACCAUUGAACCUUUCUUAAUUGACUCAUUGCUUAACACAAGCAGCGAACCUGUCUCUUUGCCCAGCCUCGGAGCCAGACCCUUAUUAUGCUUAAGUAGUUUAUAGGAAAGAAAGAAAGAAUUCAUUACAAGUACUUACUCGCGGAUGAGGCUGCCAAUGAGGUAGAUGAGCCGAUCGUAGUUUCAUGAAAAGUUGCGUUUUCCCGAGAAAAAACGAUGCAAUUCAAAACUUCAAGUUGAAAAGCCAGUACUUGUUUCUGACACCGAGUCAACUCAAAUAAGAAUGGAAAUAGAAGCUCCCUUGCCCACCUCUCUUAUUGAUGACUAGAUUCUUUCCUGCCCUAAGGGCUCUCUUUCUCGCCUACUUGCUCUGAACCAACCCAGUCACUCAUCAAAACCCGGGCCCGGCUUGAAUUCCAAUUAUUAGCUUAUUAUAAGAUAGCACUUAACUACAUCAGAGGUUAGAUUAGAUGCUCGAGAGUCCAAUUCCAAUUCCAAUUAAGUAGUUGCUUGGCCCGGCUUGGAAACACAGAAUUCCACCACUUUUCCGGAACUUUUACUGUAAACACCCUUUCCUUCCCCUCUUUGAAAGUCUCAGUAAGCAUAGUGGAAUUCAUACUUUUUCACUGAUACUCCCUAAUUGACUACCCCGGACAGGUUCUAUCUGGGCUAGACGCCAUCCCAAAUCCAAUUAGAUCUUAUAUUUCUAAAGUAGGUCGAACUAACGCCAUGAAUACAGGACUCCGUAACAACUGCUACUAAACAAACAGACAGCCAAGACUACAAGCAGAUAGUGAACUUUCCUCGCUCACACCUCGCUUAAAAGCCAGUAAGAUAUUCUACCUAGGACAGGACUGGCUCACACAGGAACUUGUCUUAACUCAUUAGAGAACGUAUUUCUAUUAGUCUAUUCCUUGCUUUGCGUUACAACUUACUAUAAGAGCUAUAGUAAAUGUCAUUCUAUAGAAAGAGACAGAAUUCAUUUAGUAGGGAUAAGUCGUAGGGAUAAGAUCUAAUUAGUAGGGUCGGGGAAGAACCCUUCGCCUCGCAUCAAAGGUACCUUUCUCUGUUGGUUCGGUAAUUGGCUUUGCCUUUCCCUUUGCUUAUCGAGCAGGCCCUAAUACAUAAUUGGUAGCGCAUUCUAAUAUCUAUUAGCUGGGUCCGAUCUAGUGCAUUAGGUACCUUAGCUUUGACUGAUGGUGACUGAUUUCUUUCUUUCGCCACUGCUAGAAACCAACUAUAUCUCAAUUAACGGAGAGUCGUUUUCUACCUUCAUUUGCAUCUCGGCACCCUCUCUACUUAACCUAGCUUCAGAAGUUACGGAACCUAUCCUUUACUGGCACAGCUGCAACUUACUUAAAUACUUCCUUCUUUUCAUUCUUCCUUGACUCUAUUAUUUAGUGUAGGACCCUUCCUUUAGUAUAGGACCGGUAAGUAAACUCCCUCUGGUAUUUCACAUACUAAUUAACUCCCUUUAGUUUACAGUUCCAUUGAUCUGAAGCAAGUGGGUCUGUUUAAUCGUUUGUCAGAAUCAGAGGUGAAGUUGUCAGCAGCAAGUUCAAGUCACAAAAGAGAGGAUGCUAAGCCAGUGGUAUUUACUUCAAUCUAUAUCAUGACCAGGUGCUCUAGAAUAAAUAGAAUCCGCAGUAGUAGGAAUGUAUUGUUCGGCAGGAUUCGAAUUCUCAUAAGUCAGUAUCUGAGGCAACAAUUGGUUAUGAUAGUUCGGGUGUUGUCGACGGGAGAGAUAGAUUCAAUUAAUCGGUGAAGUCUGAGGAGUAGUUGACUCUAAGUAAGAAAGAACAGUAACAGUAGAUUAUGAUUUGUUUACUGAAAGACAGUGCGGACCCAGACUUAAGUGCGUCAGUGGGGCGUGUUAGGGUCAGUGAGUGAACCAGAAAGAUGUUAGGCGUCAAUGAACUAGAACAUCCAUCCGAUAGGGGUCUUUCUACAGUGAAUGAAGAAAUUGAUGUUUGAGGCAAAGUGGAUAGGGUGGAGUCGAGUACAGACUCGGGAGCUGGAUAGGAAUACUGAUCUUAAUAAUAAGCAUAAGAUGCAAGGCAAGGGUGCAAGCAAGGGCAGAGCUUCGAACAAACAAACAAGUAAGCACAAGGGCGACUACCAAUAAUAAACUACCUGGUCUAACAAAAGUAUCAAAGAGGCUCAGUAUUAGCAAUAGGUCCAUCUCUUUAGGCUCAAAUGCAUUUCAACAGCAGUACGAGAUUAUUCCACCGCUUCUUCUUCCCUUAACAGCUACGCGCGUACUUUAUCUUGAUUCUUUUCUUUAAUAACUUUAGAUAGGUGAUUCCUUUCUUUAAUAACUUAUAUAGGCACUAAACUUUAAGGACUCCGCAGGGCACCCAAAAACCAUAAAUAGCGUUGGGGCCGGGGCCGGAUCAUUGCUUCUUGUUCUUUCGCCGCCACUUGAAACUUAUACGGAUUUUGUCGGAGUUGCUCGUACCCUUUGAUAGAACUCUGAACUUGAUGAUUCUGAACCAACGCAGCAAGAACCUCUAUCAUCACUUACCGCUUACUUUAGCCCGAGAUACUUUCCUUCUAAAGCUUCGGAUUGCCCUCCUGCUCGGCUCAACACUCUAAUACUGACUUGAAUGCGCUAGAUCUCCCCCUCUUCUAGUAGCCUCUGAGUCUUAUACUUACAAACACUGCAAAUACUGUUACUUGAAUGCGCUAGAUCUCUCCCUCUUCUAAUACCCUCUGAGUCUUAUACUUACAAAUACUGACUAUUCAUUUACUUACCUCCUUCCUUACUCUCUACUUUUAGAACUGCUUGCUUCCAGUACUUUCUUCUUCCUCGAACAGGCAAGCACCUAGUUUACUUACCGCUACUCAGCUAUUGUUUACUUAACUCACUUACUACAACUCUUCUACUUAUACUAUAAUAAGUCAACUAUCUCUUUAUAAUAAGUCAACUCUCUCUUGACUCUGGAACUCCUAAUAAGUCAACUCUCUCUUUCCUCUUGAACUCCGAGGCAUCUCUAUUUACUACUUUCGAGGGUAGACAGGGGAAUCUGCCAGCAGGUAUUCUUUAUUUCUUAUGAAUUCAAUGAAUGGAGUUCCACUCGCUUAAGGCUAGGCCCAUAACGUUCAAUUCAGAAUUCUUGCCAGAGUCGAGGUAUGGGCAGAAGCUAGUUCAAAGCAAGUAUAAUCCCCCUAAGAAGUAUGGGUGAGUGGAAUUCUUUGUUGACGAGUGCAGAGUACAUAGACAAGUAUAGUUUACUUACCGCUCCUUCGCAUACUAAGGUGUUUCCAGGCCAGGGGAGGGGGUCAGUUCCAUUAAGUAGCCAGUUUGCCAGUGCAGGACCAACAGAAUCAGUUAUGCAAGUGAAAUACCGAGUUGACGAGUUUGGGCAAGAGGAGUAGCUUAUCUUAUUAUAUUAUAUUAUAGGAGACUAUCUGAUUAGUCCAACUAACUCGUAUAUCCUUUGGUGUCAGUUUCUUUACUGGAAGUUGCAUUCUGGAUUUCUUUAUUACUCCCUUGUGUUCUUAUCUUGUUCCUUCUCCGGGUAAAGUAAGGUUCAGGUUACAAGUCCUUUGUUCGAGGCUUAGAAGCGGAAAGGACUCUCUUUUCUCCUGCAAAUGGAAGAUAUGCAUAUACUCUUUUCGAAACUGCGCCUAAGGAUACAUAAGGAGCUCCCCGCAUCUACAGAAUCGCAGGUCAAGAUCUAGGCCUAACUAUAACAAGAUCAGGAUCAGAUGAAGUUCAAAAGUAAGCCGAUUCAGAAAGGAUAGUUCUUGCAGAAUCAUAUCUCACUCUUACGGACUUUGAAGCAGAAGUCAUAUAUAUCAGGGAAAGAAUAUAUUACAGGCGGCGUUGAAGCUAAGGGAAUCAAAAUACAGUAAUCAAACUAGGGAAGGCUAUAUAAGUAAUCAAUAAGAGAACGAACAUUAACAUAGUAAUCAAUAAGAGCUCGAGGCGAGGCGCUAGAUUCUCGACGAAGGAAAGGACUUGAGUAGAGGUCGGCAAGGGGACAAGCUACUAGUUUAGAGCUGAAUCCCUAUACUCGGUUUGCUCAGAGCACAAACAAGCAACGUUAGCUACCUUAUUCUGGUUAGUUAACCACAUCUACCAUACCUAGCGGGGAACUCCAAUUAUUCUGUUUCUGACCUUGGAGUUGCUGAUCUACCUUAGGAAUAAGAGAGGAUGCCCGUAGUGGGAGCUGGUGGUAUUUACUGGGUUCUAUGCUGGGUGUUCGAUAUACUCAAUUCACAUAUCAGAUGUGCUAUAUGCGUACCCUAUAUGUUCGUUUUCAAUUCUUAAAUGCAAGUAAUAAACUCCAUUAUGAAUGAGGAGCAACCAAGCAACGAAAACCAGAAAGACAUUAUAACCAGAAUGAAUAGGGAAUGAAUAAGAAAUACGUUAUCACUAUGACUAUAUGGUUAAUGGGGCUCCAAAAAACAGGAGUAGAACAGAACAGGGCGAACGGAAAGAUACUCGUCGACAAACGGAUGAAACUAAACCUAACCUAGCGCUUACAAACUGGUAAUUGCCUCAGAUCCGGAUCAAGCUUUCGAUUCUGAUCUCGAAGACUUUCAUUGCACUACUUCCACCAUAUAGGGGUAGGAGACUUCUUGUCCCGUUUACCGCAACUGAAUUCGACUCUAGUACAGAUGCGUUUGCUGCUUACUUUCGCACUGCUUCAAAUACUUCGUAAGAUCCGGAUCCUCUUGCUAAUGCAGAUCCUUUUGUUUAGGCUUUCGUUAACAGGACUAAUAGUAGCUUGUCUAGCCCCAACUCCUUUAGCGCUUUUAGCUCACUUUAGCUAUUAAGAGCGUCAGGCGCUGCAACAGCUUUUUAGUGCUGUGUUCGUCCCCACUAGAACAGACUUAGACACUCGACUUGAAGUUCAUCAUUGAAUGGAAUAUCUAUCUGUUAGAGCACUUGGUAUAGGAGCUUGUAAAGAAACACCAUCCAAUCUUGCCUAUGGUCUACUUUCCUCUUCCCCUAUACACUGAGGAAUUCCUGAAAUCUAGACUAAGAACGGAGGUUUGUAUAGAACUUUGUAGAGAAGACACUCCUUCGCCCUUAACCCUACCCAUAUACAAAGUGAGUGAGCUGCUCGCAACAAUGUUUUCGUCUUCUCCCCGGAUUCGGAUCCUUUAACAGUCAAUUCCAUGAAAAGCCCCACUCCACCUACUUUCACUUAGAGCUAUAGGUAGAGUUCUAUAAGAUGGUACUAGUGCGCGGGCAGAGCAAGCAAGUUCAAUGACUGGUUAAGGCGAAAGGAAGCCUUAGCAUUGUAGAGAAUACCACCGGUAAGAGAACUUUAUUGUAGGAUUACUUUAUUAUAUUAUAUACUUUAUACUCGUAUUCAACACUUGAACUUAUCUCUGGGUAUAACUCAAGCAUUAACCUUAACCUAGCUGUCAAGAGUGUAAAGAGAGAGUUGGGCCUGUCCUGUCCUCAUCAUUAAUGGUUCAUUCUUACUGGAUAGCUCAGCAGUAAGCAUCCUAUCCCGUAGCUCAGUAAGCAUACUAUCCUAUUGAUUCCGUUAUCGCUGUAUACUUUCUUGGAAGCGAACCUUUCUUUACUUUUCAUCUACAGCUGGAUCUGAUCAGGGCGAAAGGAAAUAGUGUCCUAUCCCUCUCCUUGGUUACAAACUUAUAUCUAAUAUGUCAGUGAAACAAUAACUUCGAUUCCACUCAAUCCCUUAACUGACAAGGUGCUGAAAGCCUUUCCACCGUGUACACUGCUUAUUUCUUCUUAAGUAAAUGACAGCACUACUCCUGAUCUUUAUCCUUAUUCCAUUAACGAUUCCACUCGAACAGACUCAGACUCAACUGAGGUACACCUCGCUUCUGAAUAAGAGAUUCGGCAGGCUUCCUUUCCUUACUUAACUGGCACAGAAAGAUACUCCGUGUGGUUACCAACCUCUUGCUUUAUUAGUUCCGUUCCCCAACUCGACUAGAUUCUGCCCCUCACCCUUGACUUUCCAGGCUAUUCUCUAAGAAACACCUCUUUCUCUUAGCGCCGAACUCUAUUCUGACCUUUAUCCAACAAGUCACUCCUUAAUACAGGAUUUAUCCAACAAGUCACUCCUUAAUACAGGAUUUAUCCAACAAGUAACUCCUUAAGACAGGAUCGGAAGUGACAGAAGAAUUAACGAGUCUUGUGCCGAGUCCACAAAUACAUAAUCUCAUCUAUUUGUGCUCAACUCUAUCCUUUGGACCACACCGCGCUUUCAAGCCAGUACUUAAGAAUUCCCUUUCCCUUGCUUUAAGAAGAGAGACGAGAAAUAGGGGGUUACAGUGGUAAACGACCAGACAGAUAGAAGCCUUAUCAAUCAAUGAAAGCAUACUACAUAUUGAUGUGAAGCCUUAUCAAUCAAAGAAAGCAUACUACAUAUUGAUUCAGUAGAGUAUCAACCAUCAAGGUAACCAGCAAGGGAACCAGAAAGUUCAUGAGUGAAAUCCGCCUUUGCGCCGAAAGAAGAAGAGGAGGUGUGAUUGACUUUCCCUUUGCGCCCGAUACUUGUUGAUAGGCUUGCGCCCUGCCCUUGCCAAUACUAAUUGGAAUUGAGCGUUCAUAUGAGAAAAGUCAAAUAACAAAAGAAUAUACCAUCCAAAUAGCUUCCCUUUGCCUUCCUUGUUGAAUAUCCGCACUAGCACCCCAGAAAGUCCGCAUUAUUGAGGGCUAGUUGCUCUGCAUCGGCCUUACUGAACCCAGCUUGAACUUCAUCUUUCGAGCUAACAACAGUAAUGAUGGAAUCUAAUCUCACGCAUCUCAUAUGAAAUAGUAGAAAUUAAGGAGAAUUAUAUUCUCAGCAUAAAAUCAUGGAAAUUGAACUCUCUUGCCUUACUAAACUGAGUCUUGCCCGGCCGGUCACUUGAAGUUAAUAAAAUCAGAUUGAUUGAAGAUAACCACUUAUAUACUCAACGAGUGAACUCAACUGUCUUCAGUCAAAUCAAACAUCAAUUCAGAAAUGAGACUAUCCGUAAAACUCACUUACGAUUCCACCAUUCUCCAAGUUGAACAAGACUGAAACAACGAUACUAAGGAGAUAGUCUAUGUUUCUGUCCUUGUCCUUCCUUAGCGCCCAGCUGCAAGCUGUUCAUAAAGGCUAGUUCGGGUGGUGGACUUUACGUCGGUCAUGGAGAGAGGUGAAGGUGCUACCUUUCAUUGUUUUCAGAAGAAUAGGUGUUUUCCGUGAUGCAUCUUUUCACUCAGUUGUGCGUGAGUUUGAGUGGAGUUAGAAGAGAGAAAAUCUUCUGCGUAAGGGAGCAAGUAAAGUUGUAGGGCGCUCGAAAGAAAGAUUCCGGGUUGGUUUCCUGUUUGACUUGACUGCCCUAUAGCUAGGUUCAUUAGAGAGAGCUCUGCUCGCUUAUAAUAGUCCCGAUUAAAGAAAGCGAAAGCGAUCAAUGAGCUAAACAGAGGAGACCAGACCAACCCCAUUUGAUACGAAAGAGAAAAGGAACUAAAGGUGAGUUCGGCAAAAUAACAAGCUGUCUAUUGGUCUAUUGAAUAUAAGAAUCUAAUUAGAGGAGAAGCAGUGCGCAAGGGCCAUUCCAGUUUCCGUUUCAUCCGAAGCCAAAUCCACUCUCAAAUCCAAUGAAUGCCCACCGGAGGGAGCGCAGUUGGGAAAAAGCCGGGCGUUGAAGCUAAUGCGGCGAACAAGUCAGCAACAAGCGCAUCCGCAAGUCAAGUUGAGCUCAGGUCUUAUCCUAUCCUAUGAAAAAAGAAGUGAAUGAUGACAGUUAUAAGUAAAGUGAGAGUUGUUGGAAGACUAUACGCAGGAAUGAAGCAUAUAGGUCUCAGUAGAAGGCAUGAAGCGAUGGGCUCAAUCUCAUAUUCAUAUAGAAGGAUCCGAUGCAUCGAAUGCCCAGUUAGGCUCAAAGAACAGUCGGUACGUACUAGACGACACAGAGAGUAGUUCCAUAGGGAGUGCAUCUGCUAUUGGACUUAUUCAUUUCUUUCCGUUUUUCUGUCUUUAUACUAUAAGUCUAGGGGUUUGGUUUCUUAAAGAUUGUGGGGCGAAAACAAGGAGAUUCAAUAGUUUACCCUUUAUGCCCAGUAUAAUUCUCAUGUUUUUCGUUUCCGUUCCGAACUCGAUAUAUGUGGGUUCAAGUAAUAAAAGAAACUCGGAAUUGGAAUAAUAAAGCUACGGGACAUCAAUCAAUUAAUAAAGCAAGAUCCUCCCUGCUUAUGUAUCCAGAACGGGAACCCAAUCUCGAUUCAUUAGUUGCUAGAUUGGGGCUUUAUGUGUACGCUAGACCUCACCUCGAAUCAUAAAUCUUUACUUCUUUAUUACUAGAGAGUAAUCCACUCUGAGGGUAGUAAAAGAUCAGGGCUAGGGCAAGCAAAGGAAAGAGACUUAGGCAAGUAAUACAGACUAAUAAUCUCCUAAAAGGCCCCGACUCCGUUACCAUUCUUCGACUCUAACUGUUCUUCUCUUCUGGGAUACCCCACUUCUAUAAACCUUCGAGACCAGGAAAACCAAAGCUAAGGGAUCGAGUCAGACCCCUUCCUUACUAAGAGAAACAAAAGCACCAGCAAAGAAAGAGGAAGGAUGAAAGAGAGAGGAGCGGUGGGGAACUCCCCUUUUAUUCCAGGUUCAAAGGUACUCUUAGAUAGAGGGCAGAAGUCAUAUAUAAUAUCAAUAUAUAGCUCAAUCCUCUUUGACCUUGCCAGCUGUUCCAUUCAAUGCAAGACUUAGUGCUAUCGGUAAGGUAGUUUCAUAGAGUUUACAGAACAAGCAGGUCUGGAAAGGGAAGUUUCCCUAUGAAAUAGACUUAUCGGCUUUAGAAAUGCAUUGACGCCUAACAUCUUUACCCUAUUGCUCUGCUCUUUAGUAUCUCUUAUUCUUAUUCUUAUCAGAGUUGAAGACCCGAUCAACUAAGUAUAUAGUAACAGAGGAGCUCCCGAAAACAGUUAGUCUUAAGUUUACAAGUAGAAGUCCUGUUUCAUCUGUAUUUGUAGAAAGAGUAGAGGCGGUCGAGGGAUGUUCAGAGUUGAGUUCGGAUAGCCCAGGAAUCAUUCUUUAACAAGCAGACUCCUCAUUAAGUAGACCCCAGACAAUUAAGUACUACUUUCCUAACAUAGUGUAGAAAGAAAUCACCAACCCACCCAUAACAUAGCUUGAAAACCGGAUAUUGGAACCCCGAAGUAAGCUCUAGCAUUCCGAACAAUCAAUCCACAAUGUUAGCGCCAUUGCUUGCUCACAUAUAAUAUGAUAUUAGCGCUACACCUAACAAAACUCCUAAUUCAAAACUUGCUGCACUUUUUCCCCUUUGCUUCUAAAGCGGACUCAAAAGCUUAGUGCUUACAGUUGCGCAUUAGUGAGUUCUUUCCUUCUAACCUUACUGUGUUUGUUUGAAAUGUACCACAACAUUAUCUAUAAUAAAUAGAUUAACAGGACUGCUGACUCUGCUGUAACCUUACUGCAAACUCUUUACUCUCAACUCCAAUAAGUGAACUCACCCCGCAAAGCUAACGCAUCCUUGUAUCCCCGCGGCGAAGCGAACUCUUCUUGAUUGAAAUGAAGAAAAGAAUCUUUAUUGAGAAUUACCCGCUUCUAAGCUUGCUACUGUACAAAAUACUGGUUGGAACUCCCUUCCCUGUUGCUGGUUGAAUUGUUUUCACUCCUAACGCGAGAUCACCUUUUUCAUUUCUUACUUUAGAGCAUUGUCAGCGAGAGAAUUUCUGACUUUAGAGCAUUGUCAGCGAGAGAAUAAGGACGGACACCGCGGACAGGAUCUGUUCGAGUGGAAUCGGCAACACAGGAAGCUGUGCGCAAGUCAGUUACAAGACAUUCUUGAAAGUCAAUAAUUCACUGAAAGCAUAGUUUGGGCAAUAAGAUCUUCUGGGCUUGAAAGAUUCAAUUCAGUAUUGGUAAGGGAUCCGGAGCAAGUCAAGAAAUAAGUCAAGAAAAGAAGCUAGUUCAAAGGCCAGGGAAGCAGUUGAAGGUGUUGAAUAUAGAGAUAUAAGUAAUGAGACAGAGGUUAAAGCAGUGCGGUAGAAAGUAAGGCAAGGCAGGAAAUCAAGAGUCGAAAGAAGCAAGCAAGGGCUCCGCUAUCGGUGCUAUUGAUCGGCUCUGCAUGUCUUUCCUACGAGGCGGGGGCUACCCUGGUCCCUUUAUUAGCAAAGAGUCAAUAAAAACAACGUGUAUAUCGGGCGGGCAGUUGGAUGUAUUGGGGGUAAAUAAAUGAUUCUAAGGAGCUUUUCCCAAGGGCAUGGUAGAAGUCAAUAUCAAAAAGGAAGUGCACCUCGAUUAGAUAAACAGGCUUAAGGAGAGAACCCCGCUUUUUUGUACAAUAUUCGCUUUUCUUCUUAAUGAAAUGGUCAUUGAACGCGAUUCCUUCUGUGCUUAGGUUCGAUACCGCUGAAACAUGGAAGAGUCUUAAUAAGAAAUCCAAAAGCAAGAUCAAAGAUUUCAUAAGGGUAAGAGAAGAGAGUUCCACAGUGGGGGCACGAAUGGGAUUGACUCGACUGCAGCCAACUGGAACUGUAGCGCUUGAGGCCAAUUUCCUUGAAUUGGAACAUUCAAAUCCGGUGGGGGGAAGAAAGAAAGCUGUGAUUACCUGGGUGUGUAGGAGAUGGAAUUCCUAUGCUCUGCUAUACACUGAGAUUAGUUACAACUGUUCUUUUUUCGUUCGAAUCUUUUCUUUCAACUGUGGAAGAUAGGGUCACCUGCCCUCUUUUAAAAGGAAGGGAAUAAGUAUUGGAUUCGGGCUGGGAAUCAUAGAAGCGAUGGUAUUCUCCACAAAAGGGCAAGUAUGCUAUCUUUCUUUUUUGUGUCAUAUCUAUAAGGGAUAUAAAACAUUCCCCGUGCAAGCAAGAGUUCAAGUAUAUUCCACCAUUCCAUUUUACCAAGUGAAACAUUUGCCCUCAACUAAUAACCUUUUGCAGAAAGCUAUGGUAGGUAGGAUAAUUAGAUGCCGUGACGACAUACCUUGGGAGUUUCUCUUUUAGCCUGAAAGUCCGUCUGAUAAAGCCUUCCUUAUUCCUGUUUCAUUAACUAUAUGUAUGGUUCGCUCUGGACCUAGACGUAGAAAAAACUCUAUGAAAAAAGCAAAAAGAGCUAUAAAUCGUAUUCUGCCUCCACCGGAUUUGAAUAAUAUGUUUUCUAUAGGGGAGUAUCCACAACAAACUGCAAUAAUACCCUACCGACAUUAGAUCCUGACUCUCAAAUACUGUAUUGCUGGUGUUCAUGCCGAGCCUGACUUUCCUGCCUAGCGUAGCGGGCUAUGUCCCGCGUAUAGUUCACCUACUACUACCAAUAUGAAUAAGAAAACGGAAUAAGAGGAAUGAUUGCUGUGGGCGCUGAGUCAGAAAGAAACUAGUAAGUAUAAGGUUAGGCCUACUUCAUUGGAAUUAGAACCACUCCACCUUGAGGAAGAAAUACAAGAAGAAAGAAUUGGACGGGCGCUUCUCAUAAUGAAACAAAGGCAUACAAGAUUGAAAUAAGAGCAAGGGAAGAAAAGUGGUACUAACAGGGCUCUCCUCUCCUACUAUAGAGGGCUAGACCAACCUCAUAACUGGCAUUCAAACUACUCACUGGAAAACGGACCUUUGCUCAUCAACUCCCGCUUCCAUGCUAACUAUCCUUGCUUUGGCGCUGGUACUUUCCCUUUAUGCCCUGGCUUUUCUUCUUUACUAUGAACUUAGGCUUUUCACUCCCGGCUCUUACCUCUUACCUGUGACAUUCUCCAAGUGUUCGAGUUUGGGUCUGUUACUACUGUCUUGCAUUCUUAGGCUUCUGACCUCAAAUCCUUAGUUGGCCAGGAAGAUGUUAGGCUCAUGAGUUCGAGAGCGUGAGUCCGCGUAGUAUCAAUCAGCACUAGUAGUAGGGUAUGCUCUAGCACAUCCAGGUAUCAGAGGAAACAAAAAAGAAUAUAGAACAACUGGAGCAGUAACCAAGCCUACCCUUGAGGAUUUAGCGCACAACACCAAGUACACCGCUACCUCCCCCUACCCUAAGUUACUAUGCGUGUUAUAUGCCAUACUAUGGUUUCAAUCAAGAGGUUUGUGUUGCGUGUAGCAAGGUAGAGGUUUUCAAUGACAAAUACAAAUGAGAGGUAUCGUUCGGGAAGGUCAGUUGGGAGGUGUAGUUCUUGAGGGUCAGUUUAGAGACGUAACACACGCUAUUCACUACUAAGGUUAUUCCUCUCCAGAAAGCGUAUUUUCUCCCUAUUGACUACAAAUACCCGGACAGGUGUUUGAUGAUCUAUACCCUUUCUGAGCACCGUUUCGAUACCAGCAAUAGUUUACUUUCCGAGCACCUAACGAGUAGUUCCCGUUUUAUACUUUCCUUUACUCAAUUGAUACGUGCAUUACUGAAGUUAUGAAGUGUAGAGUCACAGAGUGUAGAGUUUCGCUGUUUUGUUAGAUAGGAGCAGGAUCUGGAGAGGAAGCUUCAACAGUCUCAGGAGAACGAUCUGAAGCCGAAGAGAAUCCUAGCUCUUUCUUUUCGAAUUGCCAGAUUGCCCUCAUUUUAUAGCCCAACUCAAUCAAUAAGCUCGGUGAAGCUGUAACACCCAACAAGCUUACCUUACUUAGUAGAAUGAAGCGCGUUAGGAAAGUUCUCUUAGUUUAACCUAUGUUAAACGACUCGAGUACCUCUUCGCUAGCUUUAUUGCUGGCACCACACACCCUCUCUCUCAGAAUGAAGGAAAGGAAGAGGUGAUUCCAAGAUGAAGGAAAGGAAGAGGUGAUUCCAAAGCAGUUGAAAGGUGGAGUUAUAGUGUUGGCGACGAGUGUUAUUUGCUUUUAGUAGGAGUAGGAUCACAAGCAAUUACUUACUUGGAAGUCAUAAGUACUGAAUACGAAUACGAGUAUGUAGCAAGCGGGUAAACAAGCAUCAAAGAAUCCGCAGCGCCUAUAUCUGAAGCUGAUGCGGUGCAAGUUAAUGAUGUGUUUGUUGGCACCGGGAGAGAAAGAGAACAAUCAGAGAAGCAAGAUCAGUUCAAGUUCCUUACCGCUACGUGGGCAACUAAGAACAUGGGUCUUACACGCAAAAUCAAAGGAAAAACGGAAAGGGAUAUACUAUGGUCUCUGGGAGUGAGGGCGAUCCGAAAGCGCCUCCAUCCUAAUAUUUAGGACUUAGAACCACUUAAAGGGUUUGUUUGCUGUCAACUUUCCUCUAAGGUGAACCAACCCGACUCGAAUAGCUUAUUUGCUUGGCGCUAAAGAAGAAGGAAUAGGUGUUUAGUUACUUUAUCCUAUUCUAUAAGAUGACUUUCUCCUAUUAUAUAAGAAAGAUGUUGUUAACUUUGACUCUUUUCUUUCGAACAAGCAACUGCGCUAAGCAAGACUCUGCUUUCUGGCGUCAAUGAAUUCUUUGUUCGGUGUUGGCGCAAGUUCCGUUUUCCGCAGCUGACUCUAUCGCUGACCUUAUUGGAGUUUCGGAGUUUGCCGGAACAAGUACUUGAGUCUAAGAUUCGCCUACCCAUAGUCUUUUCUUCAGUACGGUCCGGGGUCAUGCUAUUAGUUUAGUUGUCGUGCAUAUUCAUUUCCAUUUCUUUCUUUAGAAUCAGCAGUCGUCAUAUGCGCACUUAGAUAUUCUUUCACUAACACACAAACAACGGCGACUACAAGAUUUGCAUUAGCAAGAAAGAGGAUGAUCAGUAUUUGCCAAGAGGGUGAGAAGCAGAGGUCUUCUUAAAGCAAACAAGAAAAUCAAGGCAAGCUUAGGCCAAGCAACGGCGCGCCAAGCAACUACGUUACCAACAACAAUAGCACUACUCACUUUUCUUCUAAGACCACUGAUACACUAACAGCAAGAUCCAUGCUCCACUACUCCAUCCUGUAUGUACCAAUCCAAAUAUUAUGCUGCGCUAGAUCAUACCCUCAUACUAAUAAGAAUCAUAGAAGGUGGAGGCAGGCUCAAGGACAAGCAGAUGGAUUUUCCAUUAGGGUUUGGUGAACAUUAGCAGCCCUUCAUUCUUAUACCACUUUAGUCCAUUCAGUCCUAGUCCCAGCAAGGUUCCAGCGUAAGUGUGUUAUUCCUGUAUGCGCUAGCUCGUACCUUAGUUCACUGAUACUAAAACAAUAGGUAUGUUAAGUUGGAGUAACUAGAAUAGAUAUGGAAGCAUGAGAUAGGGCAACGGGAGACUCUAAGACAGGAAUAUAAGGCAAAAAGCUAGUAUUGGACAAGCGGUAGUGGACAAGCGGGAAUAAAGGCUUACCCAUAUUCUUAUACUGUUGAGUUUGGUUCUAUCAUAGUAAAACACAUAUCGGUAUGGAGUUGCAGAAUUCAAGCCGGGAGCGGUGGGCUAAGCCUAACAAGCAAGACGCAGGGGGGAGCAAGUAAAAGAAUGCAGUUAAUAAGUUACGAGAAUUGCAGAAGUAAGUCAAAGAAUGAGAUGCAGCAGAAUGAGAAGUUUCCGAUAGAUUGGAUAGUAAGGCUCCGGAUCAGUGAAGGAAGUAUGAUAAGCCCUUGAUCCAUUCUUUUUAUCAGUGUUUUCAUUCUCAGUAUUGUUUAUUGAAACUAGUAGGCAGGAAAGGAAGCCUCAUAGUGGAAAUCAAGCUUUAAGGCAAUGGAUUUCAGAGUUCAAGCAAGGAAUUUGUUACCGAAUAGGUGUGUCAAGGGGGAAGGCUCAUUAGUGGUAUUUCAAUUACUCGUCUUUUGUUUCAGUCUCAUUGGGCAGGUAGUAAUUCUGGAGUUUCCCUUGUUAGCGGCAGCUCGAGCCUUUGCUGUAGUUGGCUUUCCAGUUCCCCGUUCAGAUCUUCUCAGUAGUGGUUCCAUUCUUUUAGUUAGUAGAUCAUACCCCGAGUUGAGGAAUGCGAUACAGUAGUUAAGGCAUGAAAGCAAGGAGCUACAGAACUAAGAGAAGAGGCCACAAGGCUGUGAAGCUAACGACUUAACCUAGCAAGCAAUACCUUAAGGCGGGAUCAAAAGAGUGAUAGAGGGGAGUUUCCGAUUGAGAGGCAGGCACUUAACGGCGGGAAUGGCUGUUUGAUACACGCCUCUAAUAAACUAAGCUACAUCAUAGGGAUUUGAGGAUCCAGUAAGGGAAUGAGCCAAGCAAGUAUUUGUCUAGGAGCUAGACUGCCAGAAGGGGAACGCGCCCAGGAGGAUAAGAAUUUGGGUAAGGAGCCUAAGAGUGAAAGGCGUUAGUCAGGGAAUGGGAGUAAGGGGAAGUAACUCCAAGGCGGGUAUAAGUUAUCAAGUAAGUAGUUUGGGGCUAAGGUAAGUAAAGCAAGGAUCCGACUCAGUAGUUACAACCUUAUAGGAAGUAGAGACAGACUCGAACUAAUAGGCAGGGAUGCGCCAACAAGUCGCUACUAGCAUCAAAGCCAGGACAGUCCGACCUAUAGCCAGGAAGGUAAGCUUUUAGGUCAGUAGUUCAAGUCUAGUGGGCAAUGUUUUCAUCGUAGUUGGGGCACUGUUCCAUUCUUUCAGUACAGCAGCUAAGUCCUAUGAGCAGUAUUCGGAUUCUUUUACUUAUUUCCUAAAUUCCUAAUUCCGAGUACUAUAAGGAGUAGGCGCAUACACUAACAAUACAAGUAAGGCUCCCCAAUGCUUUAGGUUAGGAAAGAAAGUAUGGAGCUACGUACUGAAAGGCUUACCUAUAUUCUCAAAAUACCGAGGUUGUUUCUAUGUUCUAUACUCUAGACUUUGUCCCUACUUUCGAUUCUUGUUAUCCAGAGUUUGGUUCUAUUGCUUGUAUGCGCUAGUCCAAUUACUUAUUACUAAGAGAAAAGAUCCGGAUCAGCUGUUAAGGAGUUCAAGUAAGCAAAGGCAGGCUAAGAAGCCGCAGUGAAAAGUCUGUUUGCCGGUAGCCGGAUUUCUUUAUUCUAAGUGAAAAGAAUCGAUAUCACUAGGUCACAACGAUCUACAAAAAAGUAAUGCGAAAGAAGCCCACAGACCCACUAUUCUUUCCUACCUCAGACCUAAAAACGGAGAAAUAGAUAUAGGGUGGCCUCGCCUUGGAAAAGGCUAAACUCGGUUCUUACUUAAUGGAUCUUUACGGGCUUAGUUACGGGGCAAUCUUCUUUUUUGUGAACCCUUUGAAAUUAGCUUAAUGAACUCUCAUUUUUCUCCCGUAGUCCUUACAUCAAAGUAUGAUGAAAAAGCUUUCCCUACAUCGGAUAUUUUUUGUCCAUCUACGAAUUCACCCUUUUUUCUGACCUUUACGUUUUGCUCCAGAAGAUCUUAUUCUCGUGUUUCCAAGUAAUAAGGUAUUACCUGAUGAUGACUCAGCCGAAGGUUCCCGCGGUUUGGAAUGAGCUUCUGCGCCAGAAGCCCCCGAAUCCGCCCCAGCAGGUAACACCAUAUUCCCCAGAUAGUGUCCUCAGCUGUUGGUCCCGGCUAGCGGCAUUAGUUGGUUCCUUCUUGGCCCGAGCAUAGCACGAGUCCGGGCAAAGGCUUAAAGGCAUGAUUAGUUCCACGAAUCUCACUGCCCUAAAGAAAUGUUGGAUUUUGGUUAGUGCAUGUUUUUGUGGCCACCCGCCGACUGAAGACAUCCUUACCGAGCUGGAGCAGGCAAUGGGUAAUUGGGUAGAGGAAGUCGAUCUCCCAAAGGCGCAGCCUAAUGACUCAACUUCCGGAUCUUUUUCUAAAACAACAUGACUCCUGGAUUGUAUCAAGUCAAAUAAGCGUAGUGGCAGCACCUUCUUCUUUCAGAAUAGCCAAUUCAUUUAAGAUUAUGAUUAUGCGCGGUACCUUUUAUUAAGCCAAGGCCCUGCGCUGUGAUACCCAGAAAAAGAUGACUGGUUUCCUUGCCCCUUUGCCCCUUGACAAAUCUUUUUCCCGAGAGUUCUAAGACAAGUACUUUUCAAUAAAUCUCUUUCGCUUGUUUAGGCGAGUAGAGUAUACCGGCCUACACUUAAAUAAUCAAACUCAAACAAAGUACUCAAAAAGUCAUAAGUAAUAAGGGGAAAAGACUCUGUAGUCAAACUCAUAGCAUGGGGGGAAAAGACUCAGUAGUAAAACUCAUAGCAUAGAGGGUUAUAGUAACACCUCCUGAUUCACCAAACAAAACGAUUCCUCAGAUGUUGAUCCAGAGGUUUCAUCAUGCAUGAUAACGGUGGGCCGAAAAGCAAAAAGAAAGGCGAACUUCCCCGAUUCCUGUUCUCAAGCCGAGAGAAGGAAGAAUGCACACUUCAAUACCAUAAUAGAGUUGCUUUAAGAUUUCGAGAUUAGCGAUAGCAACGCUAUUAAAGAGAAAGGGAAGGCUGAUAAAGAGAAAGGGAAGGCGCAGAGGCAGCAUAAGCAUGGAACCGGUAGAGAGAUACUCAAAUCAACUUCUUAUUAAUAAACAGACAUUCUAAUUAGAACAUCGUGCCUUUUAAAGACAGCAACAAUGCGUCUCUUAAGUCUCGAGCUAAUCUACUAUUUAUUAGAUUUGCCAAAUGGAACCACUAUUUAUUAGAUUUGGAUAGUUGGUCCUUCCUUCUAUUAGAUUUGGAUAGUUGGUCCUUCCUUCCGAUCCGGACGAAAACGAACGGCCGGUAGAUCAAGAAACGUAGACAAUGGGAGCGAGUAAUCAACCACCGCCUCAGUAUACCACUUUACAUACUCGACACAAUAAAUAGGAUCCAAUUCCUUAGAAUCCACUUCUUGUCGAGCCUGGGAUCAAUGUCCGUCGCCAAUCGUUCGACGUACGACCAAUAAGGUUUACAGGCGUCAACGAUAAGAGCGCAAACGGAAACUCAGUCAUAUAAGUAUAAGAAUGGAAAGUUGUAUACUAAGAAUAGGUCAUCUCCUAGCGCAUAAGGCUCUUUACCGACCCACACGAAACUAUCAAGUCAGAAUUGCACUCCUUAUAGCCGACCUACAACUCUGAAUGGCAACUACUUAUACCAACGAAUUCCACUCUUUAUAGCUUGCAGACCUUCUCGCCCAGCCAGAACUGCUUAGGAUCCUGUUGUGCACUAUCUGGGAAUUGCUCAUGACCUAGUUGGAAUGGCCCUUGGUCGGAUGCUGACUCGGUCACUUUGAGAAAGUCAGCGGGGACUCCGUUUGCCAUGUAUCCUCUUGCUAUCGCGAGGACGAAUGAGUGGCUGUGCUGGCCGCAUUGCAUCAGAGGUUAAGGUUGCUCAAAUGCAUUUGAAGGAUAUAGAAGUGUCGGUCAAGUAGUUGUUUAGAGGAAAGAAAGAAAGAUGACGCCUACGAAGCAAGCGCAUCUAUUGUGUAGCUGAAGAUGUCGAUUAAGCUCUACUUGCUCAUAACUAACUAACGUGAGAACUAGCUGCCCUGCUGCGCAACACCUGUUUUGUUCUGACUUUCCUGUUAGUAGUUGCUUUUUGCAGGGGAGAUAGGAUUGAAUCUUGAAUAACAAUUUGAGACCUAUUGCUACUAUUAACUUCAUGAUGAAACUAGUAGUAGCGUGGUGAGUAGUUACUUGUCUAUACUAAGCUUGUCUAGUUACUUGUCUAGUCGUUGCUUGGCGGUCAUUAGUAGUUGCUUGGUGGCUUGAACAACUAUACUAACUAUCAGACACAAACUGGAAACUUGGAAUGAAACGCUAGUAGCGGGAGAAUAGAAGUAAGGAGAGAUAGGCUACUUCUGACUUUGACUCUUAUAGUGGCCCCUUGAAUCCCUAUUCUAUUGUUUUAGUAUGCCCUUACUUAACUGCUCUCUUUAGCUGUAGUUGCAAACUUUCACUACUCUCUGGUAUUCCUACUGUGAUUCCUAGUUGCCGAGUUUCUUUCUUUAGUUGUUGCUUUAGUCUCAUGCCCUAGAUCAUACUACCAUUACUAGAUAAUACAACCAUUAUUAUACUCUUUAUUAUAUUAUUAGAUUCGCGGUAGACUUAGAUAAGGGAAUAACAGGAUAAGAGCCAGGGUCAUCAGACUUAUAGCCAGGAGAGUAAGAGACUAUAGGUUUAUGUAAAAGAAUAAGAAGAAGGAGUUAGUAGUGCAAGGGUUGUAUAGGGAGUGAAAACAGAGAGAAGGAAUGAAAGGUGUAUAGGAGGUGCGAAGAGAGUGGAUUUCCUAGCAGUUAGUGGGAUUCUCAUUCGUUUUGGUAUGAUUCCCCCUGUUUCUAGGUUUAGUCAGCACUAGUUCCAAUCUGAUACCGACUACACUCACCUAAGGAGUAGUAGAAUCAAAGUCAGCAGUGGCAGGCCCAUAGAGCUAAUAAGGUAGGUCGGAUUAGGUGCACCUAGCAGUAAGGCGGAUAAGCAGUCAAGUCAGACUUAAGGAAUAGAUAGUCAAACUAAUAGAAAGGAGGUCAAGUUACAGCAACAAUAGAUAAGGAGCUGCAGAGUGAGAAGCGUCCCCAGCUUUUAGUUCAGUAAAGAAAGGGCCAAGCAACAGUACUAGAGCCAUAGGUAUAGUACAAGAGGUAUACAAUGAGGUCAAAGAGGUGGACAACAGUUAUUAAAGAUGAAAUCCUAUCCCCCCGAGGUAUCCAAUUGUUAUACCGGUCUGAAACUAAUACUAUAUAACAAACCGGUCUUAUACUAAUAAUCAUAAGGGAGUAGCUUGUUGGCUCGAUCAAGGCACCGGACUAAAGUAGUUGCUAAGUUACUUGUCGGAUACUUUACUUCGAGUAGAAAGAAUUCAAUGGAAUAUAGUGUAUAGACAGGGUAGGUCAUAUUUGUAUAGACAGGAUAGGUAAUAUUCCUAGUCUGCUGUACGAGUUUCAUCGUAUAAAGAUACAGAAUUGCAGAUUGAAUACUUAGAGGAAGUAUUUCUUAUAAGUGCAGCAGCGAUAGAAUCCGCAUCAGCAGUUCGGGGAAAGUAUCCAGUAGCAAGUCCAGGACCCGUGUUUGUUAGCGUAGAGAAUGGCCUGUCAGGAUGAAGAGCAGAAAUGGCUGUUUGACUCUAAGCUCCAACAAGUGGUAGAUCACCAGAUUCCCAUUAACGAGUUCCCAAUUGCCCUAAGGUACUGCAGUUUGCUUCAUCUAGAAAGUCCGUGAACCUUGAUUUAGAGUCGUUGAAAUAUGGUAAACAAAGAUUAUCAACAAGUAACUAUGGGUUCCCUUAUUGCUCUUAAAGAAAAUGCUUUUUAGUCUAGAAAGAUAGACCAGAGAGUAGUUUCCCUUCAAGUCCUUUCUUCAGGAGCCCUGUUGCCCAGGAGUGGUUAGUGACUUCAAACUGGAAUAACAGCUAUAGUCAAUAAAUAAGGGAUAGAUCUAGCGCAUCCUGUAUAAGAAAAGUAAGCUCUUGUAUAAGACAAUAGUACUCUAUGUGCUAAGGUUAGCUAGGAGUGGCUUGUCUACUUGGCCGUUACUUGGCGGGUGAAAGGCCUUUGUUUUGUCCGUGAGGUUUCAAUCUUAUUGCGGAGUAAUUUAGUUAAGCUUUAUAUUAUAUUCGAGUCUAUUCGAGUUCGAGCAGUCAAUCGAGUACUAUAUGUAUUUCAAACCGGGGGAAGUUUCUACAGAAAAAGUGAGCUUAGACUUGAAACUUGUUUGAGUGAAAGUACUUUAGGUACCAUGCAUGCCGCCGCUGUAAAAGAAAGAAGCUUGGGGUUGGUCGGUGUUUUUGCUUUUCCGACAUAUUAGUAGUAGUUGUUAGCCUUGCUGUAUUCUGUAUUUCUAGUUGAAUGAAGUUACUACCCCGGGAGUUGGAGUAAAGUACUUUUCUAACUGCUUCCUUUCUUCUGAACUGCUAGUGGGCUUAGUAGCCUAAGAUGGAUCAUUAGAUGCUGGAUCCAAGAAAGGAACUCCGGUAUGUCUGCUUGCCUGAUUCCACUAGAAAAGGACCUUCAACUUAAUGCUCUUUUCACUGACAGGACUCGUUGCGCCAAAUACAUUUAGUAGUUGCUGAUUCUGGCCUUUGCGUUACUACCUAUCUCGGACAUGUUCUCUAUUUCCUACCAAGGAAGCCGGGAGUGAAGAAUCGAUUGAGGUGAAGUCGUCCGCCUAACACUCCUUCCUUUAAGAAGAGAGGCCAAGCGACAGUACUAGACCCCUGAUCCCCCGCUUCUAGUUGUAUUGGAAUUAUUUGACUACCUUGUUUCAUUCUUGUCCUGACUAUUGGAAUUCUUUGCCAGUAGUUGAUAGUUGAUAGUUGCAUUCUUUGGAAUAGGUAGGGCAGGAUCGAAAGCUGCAGAUGGCAAGUUGACUCGAGAAGCAUAUGUUCUUAGGCUUAAAUGAAUUUCUACAGCCGAUAAGUGGGUUUAAUAGGUCAUUUGCCAUUAACUACGUUUCACCUCUGUUCAAGGACUAUAAAUCUAAGGGCGCAUAGAGUCUAUGAUAGAGUUGAUUGUGUUGCAGUAGCUUUAUAAGUAGGUUAUUCUAUUGCAGUUCUUUUCUGGUUGUGUAAACUAGAGAAUCAGCCGAAGCUUGAUCAGGAUCUGCAAGCGGAAAAGAGAGUUACGUUCAAUUGUCAGCGCGUUGUGUUUCUGUUAGAUGAAACUAGAACAGAAAUAGACUCUACAAGUAAAGAUGUGUUUGAUAGUGACUUUCGAACUGCUGCGGACUCUUCUGUUAGGUCUGUACCUGCGCAAACUCCUGAUCCAUACUAUGAUCCCGCUUAUUCUCUUUAUUCAGGCCUUCUCUUGUUCUGUCAACAACUUUACAGUUAGCCUUGUUAACCAACCGGGGGGGACAGUAAUCUUUCUCUUACUCUUAUUACCGCUACGGGGUUCUAUACUCUAUAGCAUUUGCAUCUUUUACUUGCAGAAAGAGACUCGUCGACAACACUUGCACUUUCAACCGUGUACUCGGCAUCUACUGCUCUUUCGAGCUCCCUAUCGCCUCAAACUGGACUUGGGAAAUACAGAAAGUUAAGGCAGAUUUGAAGAAUGGAAUGGAAUUGAACUGGAAAGUGGACGAGAGAGAAAGAGGAAACUGGAAAGUGGACGAGAGAGAAAGAGGAAUAAGUGUCCAGAUGUGCUAGAUCCAUCCUUCUUUCUUAUCUGCUAUGCUAGAGCAAUUAUGUACUACGGCCCUCUUCUAUAAAGUAGAAAGUGUCAUCGUACUAAGAAUCAGAGGCUUAAGUUAGCUGUGCGGGUGCAGUUCCCCAAAUAGUACUUGAACCUCUCGCGCCCUCUUGCAAAUACAGAUACUGUCCUGUGGAAUCAGUAGUAGUUGUGACAGAGCUUAUUUUCCCGUGUCAGCUCUCCCGUGUUGUUAGCCUCGUUUCUUGUUUGGUCGUCUCUACUAGAGCUUGUUUUUUGGUCGGUGUUUAUUAGUGUGUUUCUUCCGUUUGUGUGAUGAAGCUAAGUGUGUUUCUUCGGUGAGUUUCUUUUCGAAGAUAAUUGGACUAAGAGAAUAUCUAAAAUCAAAUAAUAUAAGAUAACUUCUUCAGAGAAUAGCUAAGAUAAUAUAAGAAAAGAGAAUCGCUAAGAUAAUAUAAGAUAACUUCAAAAGAAAGGGAGAAAAAGAAAAGAAAGAGGAUUGGAACCUAUACGACAGAUAGAAAGCCAUAGAGGAAUGCGCAGAUAGAAAGCAAUAGCUGUGUGGGACUCAGUGAAGAAUGGAACGGCGUAGUCACAGAAUCAAAUCACUAUUAUUCGAAUUCAAACAUUAUUCUCUUAUGUUGUGUAUCAAAUGCUUUCUUUAUUUGCGGGCUGAGACUACACAGGGGUAUAGACCGAUGCUAGUAGUACCUGGUCCUUGUCUUCAUUAACUUGAUUUUGAGCUCAUCAUAGGAUCUCGUUGACAAUCCCCCAAUAGUCGGUAUAAAGAGAUCCGGUAGCCAUUGAAGGGUAACGAUCAACUACUAUGAGUUCUUUGGCCAUUUUCGAUCGAACAGUUGUAGCCUACCGUAGGGAAGAAGGUCUCAGAUCUCAGUAGUUCUGUAAAAAACCUAUUUUGUGAAACCAGUUCCUGUAAUCCGAUGGUCGAAGAAGCGCUCCUACCCCCUAUCAUGGAAAACUAUCCAAAAUGACAACUCACCCCUUCCUUAUAUGAAAGAAGUACAGUCCUGCUCUUUCACUGUGCUACUUCAUACCCUAUCAUAGCCAUCCUAGCCCGAAUGGAAUCCCAUCAUGGGUUAAAGCGCAAUCACAACUGUCGAAUUGAGUGCGGAAAGGGGUUCGCAUGCUUUAUGCCUUUCCUUCUGACUUUCCUUAGCUAGGAAGGGAAUCUUCGGAUGCAAGGUGAUUCAUCUUCGGAUUCUUCCAAGUUGCCCCCCCAGAUGAAAGAGAAUUCCGCUGAGUGAAACUGUCCCAACCCCGCUCAUUCCGAAUGCUGUUUCCCAAUAGGUUGAAAAGUCCCGUCAGUACGUCCCUUUUUCCAGUAGCUUUAAAUCAAAGAGUCCUCGAAAGAAAAGGUUUAGGGAGAGAUCUUUCAGGCUUCUGCUUCCGUGCCUAAACGUUCAGGGUGCUUGUUGGCGCUUUCUGAGUAAGUCAGCCUUAUUUUAUAUCAUAUCAAAGCGAAAGGGCUUGUAACACAGGUCGUCUUUGGCUCGUCUCCUUCCGCAAUACGCAUCUGGUAGCAGCCCGCGCUAUAGGUAUAUACAACAAAGAGAAGUCUAUCGUUCGGAUACUAGUUCUUGAUGGCGAGGUUACCUUCUUGAGCGCCCGAGUAUCAAUGCUUCAUCUAAUCGUUGGCUCCCGCUUCUUCUGGAGGAUGGGCUCCCCAGAUAGGGAAAACUGCCUUGGAGGCUGGGGCCUCACCGAGUUCCUGAAAUUCUUUCCUGAGCGAAACCAAACCCCUUAACUAAUAGAUGCUAGUUUGGGGGCCAUCUGCUUACCCACCCUCAUGGAGAAAGACCCUGGGCAAAAACCCAUGGAUGGAAAGUUCUUCUUCCUUUCUCAAAGCUCAUAGAAAGAAAUUCAUAAAUAAAGCAAAGCCUGAUAGAAAGAAAUUCAUAAAUAAAGCCUGUACGACCUGUGAACCAAAACACUUUAGCACGACUGGACUAUUUGAAUUGGAUAUUUUAUACCUGUGUGAACCAAAACACUUUAGCACGACUGGCUUUCUAUCGACCCAUAAUUUGCGCGGCGAUAGUGGCUGGCAUCUUCCGGGUAUCGAUUAAGGUUAUUCGGGGGAAGUCUUUACUCCUAGACUAAUGGAGUGAAUUCUGUCCCGUCUCACAGGUAGCGGCUGGUGUCAAGUAAGCAAACUACGUCUUACUCAGAAGGCUUCCACCAUUGAAGACUUGCCGAGGAGACCUAACUCAAGGAAUAAGGGAGAAUUAGAUUGGAGUAUAUGAGUUCCGAGUCAAGAGCCCGACCAUGAUAUACAAGGUUAGUUAUUAAGUCCGAGCCUAGCGUCGUGGGCACCUUCCUCUUGGAUCCGAGUCUUAGAAAUCCACAAUAUGUUAACAUUCUUUAUUUCUUAGAAAUCCCAAUAUGUUGAAAUCCCAAUAUGUUACAUUCCUUAUUGCUGCUCAUUUUAUCUAUGAUCUAUAAAUCCAAUAAGUAGAAUCUCAAUCUCGAUAAGACCUAUACGACUUGUGGGGAGAAAUGUUAACCACCAAAAAGAAAGGGAGUUGUAUACUUUUGGAUCAAAAGCCUCCUUAUUAAUAAGUACCACCUGCUUAGAGUGCCUGUUACUGUGGAAGGAACCGGCUGUCAGUCUUGGAUUCACUGGUUUGAUUCCUUAUUGGGCGCUAAAGCCUGUAUUUCGAGGAUUCCUACUUUUGAGUUUCAUUCCGAUAUUGUAUUGGUAUUGGUAUCCUGACUAAACAUACUUAUAUAUAAGAACAGAAUCAUUAGCGGUAGACUCCAAAUACAAGUAAGCAGCGCCAGUUGGAUACCUUUCUUCCUAGGAGUAGAAGAACGCAGGGGACGGUUCAGACUUAUAGUAUAGACAGGAGAGAUAGUUUGAAGCUAACGAUUGAUUGACAGCUUGAUACACAGUAGAGACAUGCCCAGUAGUAGGGAAUUCGUACUUUAGCCAUGGAGUAGCGGACUAGCACAAGAGAGUCUGAGUCUCGCUAAUGGGGGGUGGUCUCAAAAGUGAACAUACGAUUUCGCUUCCGUAGUAACAGAGUGAAAGGCGAGAUGGGAGAAACCUAUUUCUUUUGUCAGGUAGUAAGAAUUAGAGCCGGGAGACAAGGGCUUUGACUGCUCGGUUCGGUUCUCUCCUUUGAGUUGAAGUCCCUAGUUCCAUUUCUGUAUUUAUAGCUCAACUCUUAUUAUAAUAAAGAGGAAUCAGACUUAGCUAAAAGAGAGACAGGCCCAACUCCUAAGAAGUCAGAAUCAAAAGAAUACGUGUGAGGAUCAUAUACUGGUUUGCAAAUAAGUAGUUUCGGAGUGAAAGAAGCGAGUCAGAUACUUAAGUAUGGGAAUGCCAGUUUUGAUCUACAAAAAUAGAAGAGCUAGCAAAUGGUAGUGACAGGUCCGUUUUCAGAAUUUCCCGAGUGGAACAUAAAGGGGCAAGUCCCAUUUAGGUCCCGUAGUGAAAGCCCCGGAAGCAGUGGUAUCGGUUUUGUCAGUUCAAGUUUCAUUCCUUUCCUCUAGUAUCCAUAUUCUUUUGAGGGAUUUCAUUCUGAUAGUAAGUAGUUACUGUCUAACGACUUGACAAUAACGAUAAAAAGAAGAAACCUACUGAUAGUAAGCAUAGGGCAAAAAGAAGAAACCUACUGAUAGUAAGCAUAGGGCUCGGUACUAGUAGACAUAGGGCUCGGAGCUCAGACUUUGACACUGCCCCAGCAAAGCAGUAAUAUCAUAAACUAGGAAUGACACUGCUGGAACCGAUCGAAUGAACUAUAGUACUACUGGGAAUCCGGCUUAACCACAAGAAAGGGAAUGAAAGAAGGGAAGAACCGCUCGCUACCGUUUAGCUCAACUCCCGAAAGCAUCUAUUGUAAUAACUUCGUUAUGACUGUUAUUGGCUGCCGCUAUUAUAGCUCGCUGACGCGACACAUUAGCAGCAAAACAGUACUGCCGCUCUUUUCACUCGCUACCGCGCAACAUUAGUAGUUGCUUGGUCGAACACAUAGCUUGUUUAUAACUUGUUAUGACAUAUCUAUGCUGUUGCUGCCGCGCAGCGGCUUGCUUAGUUGCUUUGCCCUUGGCGUCUAGUAGUUACUUGGCCGCCUAGAUCGGCUUGGUCAUUAGUAGUUCCUUGGUGGCUCGAACUUCUACUAGUCAGAACCUAACAGAAGGGGGCGGUAAUCAAACAUGAGUUCUGAAUACGUUCAAUGUGGGGCGCAGUAUCAGCCUUGUAGUUGGACAUAUAAAGAAUUGGGAUCUUUGUAGCGCAUCCAAGAAUGGUAGAAGAAUCAAUCCGUAAAUACAGAAUUCUAGUAGUAACUCCUCUAAUGGAGUGGGAUGGAGCUGACUCAGAAGUAAGAAUGGCUGUACCUAUGAAAAAGUGCUUCUUUUGUGAGCCAAUACAGUGUACCGGGCAUAGCUCUAAGGCAUUGAAAUAGUAAAUACACAGAAUGCAAUGAUAGAGUAGUGAUAUUAAGCAUAGGUACGAUCUAGGGCAUACAGGAAUAUAAGGUGUUCAAUGCAGAAUGGCGGGCCGGGGAAAUACUUAGUUUGAGUAAAGGCAUACUGAGAUGUAGCAGUGGCAAGCUAAGAGAAGGGAAUGGCAGAUCAAAACUCGAAAGUCAGUAGUAAGGUUAGGGCCUAGACUCAGAUGUGGUGUAGUAGUAGCGGAGCAAUAAGUUAGUUGUUGAGAGAUCGCCACUCUUGUAAGCCCAUGUUUCCGUCCUGUUGGUAUGAGCUCAACUCUGGUUAUCAGUAGGCGCAUUCCCAGUUGUUGCUAGUUCAGCUCUCGUCGAGGGUAGUUCCAUUCUUCCUAUUAUUAGUGAAAAUCUUGAUAUCCGUAGUUAUGUCCCUUCCCUAGAGAUGGAUCAGUUAUGGCAUUGUUCAAAGCUGGUACUAUACACUUGUAUUCUUUGUAAGGAGUCGACGCCCUUAUAGUCAGCUAAAGGAUGAAGGUAAAGAUCGGUAUACUUUAAAUAAGAAGAGGCAGACCAAUAGCCAUGAUAGUCAGAAUGCCAGGUAUAGAAGUCAGAGUCAAAAGCAAGGUGGACUGGCUUGGUUUACUUAGUUCCAAUUCUUGGAUUUUGGAUUAGUUUGGAUUGCAUUCCGAGAGGCGGUAUUAUCACCUUAUAGUUUGUAUUAGUGGGUAUGAGUUUAGUUUGAUUCUAUUGCUUUAUACGCUAUAUCACAUAGUGUACUUCCGACAUUGACUAAAGAAUUCCAGAAGCCAUUAUAAGAUUUGAACUAGCAAACAGAAGAAUGCUAGUAUAGAGUUUCAGAACGAGAAACCGUAGCUGAAGAGUGAAAGGUAAAAUACAUAAUUGUAGUAAAGCUUAGCUAAGGGACCGGUAGGCUUAUAAGCAGUAGCUCACCUCUUAUUGUCAUUGCCCCUGUUGCUUGGUUCAUUAGUAGAAGCGGUAUUUCCUUUCUGACUUAUUAUAGUAAAGGAAUCGGAUUUGGAUGCAAGUAAGUCAGAUUUAGAUGCCAGGGUUCUCUUCUUUGUAUUAGUAAUUCGAGUAUGUUAGCACGACAUUCCACUCUUUCUUUCUUCCCCUGCCCUCCGUAGGAGGAUUUCUUUCUUUCUUAUGAGACCCCUCUGACCUGGCUACCCUGACCUGGCUACCCUGACCUGGCAAACUUUCAUUCUCACUUGAGAGUUGAUUUCUGACUUCUCUUCUACCUCUGUCAGCUGCCAAGCGACUACUAGUAAAGGAGUUAGGAGUGAAAGGCCAAGCAACUAUGAACUAGUACUACCUGUCUGAAACUCUAUCUCGACCAGGAACUGUAAACUUUCAUUCAACUAGUAGAGGUAUUAAUCAAAGGUAUAAAUUCCCUGAUCCCACUCCUUACCUUCCCUCACUUAUGAACUGGAACACCGGAUUUAGAACUUGCUUCUUUACUUGCUUAUAGUGGAUAGUGGAAUAGGAACUUGCUUCUUUACUUGCUUAUAGUGGAUAGUGGAAUAGGGAAUAAGUGCGAACUGACUCUGAUCUGUAUUCGGAGUCUGAUCCGGAUUAUGCUUAGGCUGACUUAGCGGGGGCUGCUGACUUUCCUACAAAGCUCAUGGGCGAACACCCUAAUUUGGAUGGACUUGAGACCCUUUCUUCUGCUGACUCAUCUAUUACUGCUGACUCAUCUAUUACUGCUGAUUCUAAUGCUCCUGACUCCUUCGUAAGCGCAACUUCUAACUCCAUUCCGUUAACGAGCGGGUGCCUUAGGGAGUUGGGGGUAUUGUUUGUAUAUAAUGGGGUAGGUCAUAUUCAUGGAUUCUAUGAGAGAUGGAUUCAAUGAUUCAAGUGUAGAGUUUCUAGAGUAGAGAAGUCAAGUUAGUUAUAGUCAGUAAAUAUGUAGUUGUAAGUUAGUUAUAGUCAGUAGAUAUGUAGUUGUAAGUUAGUUAUAGUCAGUGUAGUUAAUCAAUUAUGGAAUCAGGUAACAACCUAUAUAUGGGAAUUCUAGUUUCUGGGUGCCUCUAUUCGUUCUGAAGCUGCCGUUAGCGAGUUAAUGGAAAGUCAGGAGUCAGGCUACUUUCUAAUAACUAAAAGAAAGCAUCGUCAAUGAUAUAUGUGCGUGGAUAUGUUCACUAUUGAUUCAAUUGAGAAGAAAGAGUGCACCCCAGUGAAAGGCUAACAGGGAAAGAAAACAUUCUAUUCUUUGUCCUCUCAGAGCUAAUUCCAUAGCUGUGGACUAACUCGCCACGGGAAAGCUAGCCAUGAGUUAAUGUUCUAAGCCCUAUGAAUGAAUGUGCAUUUGAUUCCGAAAGACCAGAUGAAAUAGCUCCUCCUUUCCUUCUAUUGCAGCAACAGCACUUUAGAGAGAACACCUUAAGCUCCUCUCUGCACUAAGCCAAACUGGAGACAUAUUAAUGUGCACAGGCAAUUCGAAAAAGCAUUCUCCUACAGUUACUAGUCCUAGCAAAGAGCGGCACCAUCUAUUCUAGCAAACCCAGAGGGGCAGCAAGAACAAGAGGCUUUUUGAAGAGAUUGUGUUUCACUACAUACAAGAAAUGCAGAUUCUGAUUGAAAACCACAUCUUCCUCUGUUGGGCUCGAGUUGCAUAAGCCUGAUUACGGGGCAUCCCAUCCGCCCGGAGUGGCUUCUGAUUCCAUAGCUAACUAAGCCCUUCGUGGGAAAGAAGAGAGAGCCUUUGAUAUGAGUCUCACAGCUCCUUAAGAACACUUGCUACCGUGGCCUAAAUGCGUAGCACCUUCUUUCUCCGCUUUCAUUGAAAUCGCAUGAAACCCCGUAUUUGAUUCCUAAACAGCUAAGAGAUAGGAGAGCCAAAUUCCCCAUUAUCGAUUGAGCAAGCAGAGGAACAAGCUUUAGUUCAGAAAGAUUCCCCAUUAUCGAUUGAGCAAGCAGAGGAACAAGCUUUAGUUAAUAAUCUAUAGUAUAGUACUUGAGUGGGGAACCGACCCUAUACACAUUACAUUCAGGACAGAGGCAUAGGCACCGUGAAUAAGCGUACCCAGAACAGGAAAGAGAGACAGAGGAGUUUCGUUAUGAUUUCAUAAUGUGUAAGCAGUUUUGUUACCUCUUUCUAUAAAGUGUCCCUAAGCAGUAAUCUAUAUUGAUUUGAUUAGUUGAGUCUCAUUGGGUGCUUUUGUUGUCUACAAUAGAAUAAAGAAUGCUUAGCCCACGUAGCUUCUAACACUUACUGAGUGAAACGUGUGAGAGAAUCGGCGUAGCUUGUUCGUUCGGUUGAAAGAUGUUGUAGGCCAGGCCACGCAGCCAAGAAGAAAUGUAAAGAACGAGAGUUGUUGAAACUAGCAUAUUGGAAGAUCAAUCGGCUUAAAUAACCAUGAGCAGCUACAAUACUCUAUUGUAAAGUCUCUUCCUCUUUACCGAAUCAGUCACUUGCUAACGCGGAUUCGUUUUCAGUGAUUUCCCUGAUGAAACAAGAGUGGACCAAGGAACCAUGCAUAGUACUAGGGCCGAAUACACCAGAGCUACACCUAACAUGUGAAAUAGAUGCAUAAGGAUGUUGUGUUCUGCCAGUAAUACAAUCAUGAAGUAGAAAGUACCAGAUAUUCCAAAAGGCAUACCAUCUGUAUUCCUAAAGGCAUAUCGUCAGAGAAACAUCCUUGACUAAUAGAAUCAAUAGGGUCGAUCAAGAAAACUGCAGUAGCAACGAGCAUCAUAUGCAACAGCAAUCCAAGGACGCAUACCUAUAUUGAAACGGCAACUCAGGACCCAUGUAAUAAGCUACACCAAGUCAUAAGUGUCAAACAAUUAGCUUCUACGGGACCGCCAUUGUAGAACCACUCAACACAGAUGCAGCUUGCUUCCCGGAUAGGGUCGUCAACCUAUAGCUGUCAAAGUCGGAAUAAUAGCACUAACUAACCAGAGAGAAGAAUAUUUCUAUGAAAGGUAUAGAACGAGAAACAGGUUAACGAAUACCAUCAAUCAAUAUAUACAGGAGGAGAGCAGCAAUGAAGGCUAUCUUCAAUACAACGGUUGCGUUGCGGUCAAUAAGGUAGGGAUCAUCAAAACACCGAACCACCCAAUGAAUGUAAAGACGGUUUUCAAUGUGCGUAGCAGAAGCGACCCACUUUCGCGUCUCUCUAAAAUGGCAGUCAUGGUAAGAUCUUGGUUUAUUCCAUUAUUAAGGACUCCCAAGCACACGUAUUAACUAUAACUAGAAUGAGAUAGAUAAUAGAAAGCGCUUGUUAUUUAACAGUAUAGCAUGGCUUAUAUGGCAAUGUCAACCAAUCAAUCUUUCUUUCACAGUUUGUAGUAUGUGUUGCUCGGGACUCGAACCCUGAACUAGUCGGAUGGCUAAUUGGAGCUUUUCACAAUAGAGGAAUCAAUCUCUUCCCUCCCCAAACCAACCGUGCAUUUUGUCAUUGCACACGACUAUCCCUAAGCAAAGUAUACAUAUCAAAACCAUCCCGAUCUCCAAUUCAUAAAGUAUCUGAAUUUAUACUACUCAGUGGAUUCAACCACUACACUACUUACAUGAGCAUUUCAUAAUCAGAAUUAGUUCAUAUUUGGAUCUCUUGAUUUAGAUACUAGUUGCAGCGAGAAUGGAAUUUCCACAAUUACUACAUUACCUUCUGAUAUUAGAUUCAAAUGGGAAUCAAAAGAAUUGUUGUGCCCAACCGGCUAGGGGUAAGAAUCAUUAACCGAGAGAAGAAAUCAUAUCAUUUUGUUGAUACAUUCGCGUUUCACAAGUAAGGAACUAGAUUUAUUAACACCCAACUCAAUUAACGGGUUCAUCAAAAUGGGAACUAUGGAAACUGUGAUCAUAAGCAAAUACGUAAAUAUACUCCUGAAAAACGAAUGGAUAUAUAGGGUGUUGCCGAGAUCUCUCCUUUUCCAAAUAUCCGAGUCAUUCUUCCAUUGACAUUUCCACUUUAAGCGGGGGUAGGAAGCUUUUCUUGGGUUCUCAAAUGAUACAUAGUGCAAUAUGGUGAAAACUGGGUGAAGUCAGAGAUAGAGGCAGCUACGGGACUAUAUCCCAUAUCCUCAGUGACCGGUGCUUACAAAGCGCUUAUUAAUAAAAGGAAAACCUUGUUGAGUUCGAUUUCUUAUUCGCAUAUUACGGAAAAGAAGUAGCCCCACUUUCAAGUUACUACUGCCCAUUCAAUAUCACAAUCUAUAGUCUAGUUACAGAUCGAGAUGAAUAUGCUUCUAUAACCCUUAGAUCCAUGGGCUCGAAGUAAGACAAUCGUAGGACUGCUUGCUUCUCUUGCCACUUCAGCCUUAAGUCAAAUGCUUCUUCACUAUCCACAGCCACUUCUGAUCUUUCUUGAGUCAAUCCGUUAUAGGCCUCUGGAAUAAUAUCCGAUCCUAGUUAGCCCAUAGAAAAAAGAGCUUCACUCAGACACUUGGGUCCAAUCCACAAUGGCCUUAACUUCCUUCCCAGCCAUUCGAAUCCUUCCCAGCCAUUCAGAACCUGUUGCUCAAGGCCUGUCGGGCAAAGUCACUGAUUAUUUGUUACAUAUAGAUUGUGCUCCCUUAACCGAGCUUUCCUAAGGUGGUACAAGUCAUCCUAUAGGGAACUAACUAUGGACAAGAAUGUAAUAAAGAUAGACAAACAAUAAGAAAGCGAUCAAUAAAGUGAGAAGUUCUAAAGGACAGCAAUCAUCAAAUGUUAGAAAGAAGGUAAGGCCGGCCGCAUAAAAUGUUAGAAGGUAGGCCAGGCCGUUCUAAGCCCCAAUGGCAUGACACAGAACUCUAAAGCCAUAUCUGGUAAGAGAAGUGGUUUGAGGCUCGUCUCCCUGCUUCCGCAAUUCACACUUUCCUAUAUCAAUUCUAUAUAAGGUCGAAUGUGAAGAAAGAGGCUUUGGACAAUCGGUCGAAGAGAUCAGCCACCAAAGUGAGAGGAGACCCGAUUAUUCAUUCGAAUCUUGUUCUGUGCAUGAGAGUCCACACACAUGUGCUAAGAGCCAUCUUCCUUCUUUCUAGAGCUGCACAGGGCCGGUGCCUUGGAAGGCCUGCAUCUAGCAAGCAUUAUAGCACAACUGCUUCCGUCGAACAAGCGGAGAACAAGCAACUCCAUUGAGCCCCUAACGGAGUUUGUAAGUGGUAAAGAACAAGUACAGUUUUCGUCCAAGGAGCAGUCAUCGUAAGAUCCAACUCCACUUAUAAGUAGGUAGGUCAAGUCCGUAGGUAGGUCGAUAAUAUUAGGUAGGUCAAGUCCGUAGGUAGGUCGAUAAUAUUCUUUUCGUUUUUCUCUUUUGUUCGGUUCUCAACACAUAAGAGAGAUCAAAUCAGUAUCAACAUCUUCCACUAACAAAGAAAGGAUUUAUCCCAACUUGCUGUUGGUAGACAAAGAACUGCUAACCUACUUCAUUUCUAUCUAUCUAGUCAAUUCCUCCAGCCUACUAGAUCCCGAGCUAGUCAAUUCCUCCAGCCUACUAGAUCCCGAGAGUGAAUAGCAUAAUCAAUAAGGUUAUAUGAUUUAUCCGCAAGGGCGAAUCAAUGCAAUUAGACAGGAAGAAGGCUAGCUUGAAAACAGUAGCACUGGUAUAGGACUCAAAAGAAAGACCACUCUAUCUAGUAUAUAUUCUCGCCCACACAUAUCAAUGAAAUGAAUGGAACAGAGAAAGACGAGAGUGAAAGAGCGGGAUCACUAAUGAGUAUCUGGACAGACGCUCCUUGUGGGCCAAUUCUAUCUGUCUUUAUCAAACUAGCUAUGGAUCCGAUAGACAGAGGUAUUUAUAUAUUCUCCGAUAGACACAGAGGUAUUUAUAUAUGAAUAUAUACUUCCCCAUUAGUUUCAUUAAUACUUCCCCAUUUCUUAUUUCUCUAAUAAUGUCCAACUCUAUUCUGGCUUUUCCCUUCGUGAAUGACAUUGAGACUUGAUAAGAUAAAGAUCCAAGUGUCCGCGAAAAAUCAAGCAAGAUAGAUGGUAAGGUAAAAGAUAUAUGAAUCGAGAAAGGAUGUAUUGCAUGGUUAGGUAUAUCAUUUUCCACAAUGAGAUAUGGUAAUAGCUGAUCCACAUACAUUAUAGUAUGGAUGCCCAUGAUCAAAGAAGAAGGCAGGCGAAUCCGGUUCCGCUACUUGUGAUCAAAAGAAUGAACGUAUUAGAUCUUUCUAUGGGUCCAGUAAAGAAGGAAGAGAUAGGAAGGCAUCUUCUCUAGCCCCACACGUAGCGGUAAACUAAUCAGGUUCCAGUCCUCUAUCUAUCUUUCUUUGGUGCUCAUGGUAAGAAGGUGGAGCAUACAAUGAAUGGUCUUUCGUACCUGAAGUCGAUGCUACAUGCAAUAGUUGGCUUAAAGGGUUUCAAGUGUGGAUGCAAAGAAGGCUUUUGCAAGAUCGAAGAGAGCACCCAGACACCAUACUGUAGGUGGGGCAUUGAAAUGGUACAUAGGAACAGCUACCCGGAGUUGAUCUGAGUACCUUUGGCACCGAGGUUCGAAGGUGGAGUUCCCUCGCUUGCUGUGAGGAACAAGAUAAGAGAAGUGGGACAUUAGCACUUGAUCAUUAGCUCCUAGCAUGACAUGUACCGGUACAGGUUCGCCAUGCCAUAGGCCAGCCAGAAGGUUUCUCACUUUCAAUAGGGGAGAUGCAAGGUAGUGACUUCAUAGGAAGGAUGCAAGGUAAAGUAGUCCACUUCAUAUAGAGUUUCAGGAUCAAGUAGCAGGUCCGAUAGAGGAAAAAAGGUGGGAUGCUCUUCGCUCGUUCCAACCUACUUCCCCGAUGGGUCAAUUGCCAUUCUCUAUGUAAUACAAAUCCAUAGCCCUAUAAUUAUUCACCGCGGGCCUAGAUCCACUCAAUGCUUAGGUUUUCCCGGGGGUUAAGGGAGAAAGAAAAGAGAAACAAGCUAGAGUUUAGCUCGGCUCCAUAUCCAUCACUCGAUUCUAUUUCCAUUUAGGUGCUUGCACUGUUGUAAGAAUUUUCCAUAAUUGUCAUCGUUGCAUUUUGUACAUCUCAUUUCUUUUGGUUUGAGAAUUCCUGUCACUUUUUCCUUUACUUUAGAAUUAGACACUGUAAAUUGCCUUGUCUUGGAGAGAAGAGUUCAUAGCCUAUUGAAGUCUCGGCUUUUCCAUAAGCGGUAAUAAAAGAGAAACCAUAGAGAGGAGGUUUUAUAUCGACUUAUACUGUACUUACUUAUAGGAGGGCUUUACGAGACCAAGCAAUCUGACCAAAGGCGGAAUCACAAGAAUCGACAAAGAGCGGGUUUCUUAUAGACGCUUCGUGAUUGAUUUCCAUCCUCUUUGAUUUCUGUUCCGAUGGUAUAUCGACUCUGGGCUUUACCUCUUUGGGUUCUUCAUCUCGCAACGGGCUCCGACUACCGAAGCUAUUGGUGGUUAUGAAUAUAGAUCCGAACGAGGUGGUCUUAGUGAGACUCAAUCAACAGAAGCAUUACUGAUGUUCCUAGCGUUAUCCGUAAUAUGAGGUCCAUUGUAGUAGCGUUAUAUCUGUAAUACUCCAUUGUAGUAGCGUUAUCCGUAAUACUUUAGGGCUCGAUUGGACCCGAAACAACUCUCACUCGGUAAACUUUCACUGGGACGAUAUAUUGAUAUGAAACAAUCCAUUGAUGCUGCUCCCAGAACUUCCAUCCUACUCUAACUUCUGCAACCUUCAAACCUUCUACCCUUACUAUCGCUACAGGAAACUACUUUCUUUGACUUUUUCUCCUUCCUUUUGCUAUACUAGAGUUGACUACCUUUGAGAAAAACGAAUUGAGAAAUGCUACUCGAUCUAAAAAGUGGUUAAUAUGCUGGCUUUGGAUUGACUUCAAAUGAGGGUCUCUGGUCGAGGUGAUGGAUUAGAUACAACUUCCUUCACUGCUACCUAAAGUGAUGAGUCAACGUAAAUCAAUUCACUAGAUUGGCCAUCUUUUUCCUAUAGGGAGCUUGGCUUUCCACUAUUUCGCUCUGCCGAGCUUGAUAAGUUAGGUGUACAAUACCAGCCUAGUCUAAGUUAAGAGCCUAUGAGCUUUCUAUCUCCUUUUCUGACUCUGACUACCCGGGGCAGCUAGGAAGUACGAUGUUGACUACUAUACUUUAGCACCCAAAACUAUAAGCCUUAUCGGAACGCCCUGCCCUCACUUAUUUCAUUGACUCCAGCUAUCCACAUAUAUCAGAGAUGCAAAAUGGAGCAUUGCUUCCUGCUUCCAAAACGCAUAUCCAUCAUAGGCGCACUCCGCAACAACAAGAACUCACUUACGCGCGACGGCUUCUGCUAAUGCGCAAGAACGGAACGAAACAACAAGGAAAGCCCUUUAAGAAAACUAUGUACAACGCCUUAAAUGAACUACUACCAACGCACACCGGUAAUUUCAUCAUGGAAUUCGCUUCACCCUCUGCCUUACCUUUACCAGUAAACAAAUGAUUCAGUAUAUUCCCUUUCUUGUUGAAUUGAGUGUACCUAGCGUAUGAUAGAAUUUCGAAUAAAAGGCUUUCAGCACCUUGCUUGUAGAAUGAAAGAGAAAUAUGGGUCACAGUCGAAUUGAGUGCUCUCCCUUAAUAGAAGUACAGUAAACUCACCUCCCCUUGAAAACUCCGAUACUAACGCACCCCUUCAAUAGAGGAUUGACUCAUCCCUUGAAUAGAUGGAAGAAAAGAGUAUCAGCUGCCUUACCCUAUACAAAAGAGUAAGGAAUUAUUACAGUUAGCCCCUUGUUUGUUUGUUUACUUGCUUGCUAGUUUAUAGCGCUAUCCACAUCUCUGUCUGAUGAAAGUCACCUUACUGCUUUGCUUCAAAACUCACUUAUUACUUGUUGAACGAAUUAAGGCACUACACUUUCAUAAUGAAGCUGGGCACCCCGAAUUGCUUGUUUCAUUGGAAUAAGUCGCAUAUAAUGUAAGAGAUUCCAGAAUGUAGCUAUCAUAGCAUAGAAAAGGAGAAACUCUCACUUAUGACUUUGUAUGAUUAUUCAUUGAGUGUGCACCUUAUUAUAUAUGUAAUUGAUUAACAGAACUUGAAGACGAAGAAUACCUAGCUGACAUCGAGGUGCCAAACCCUUAUCAAUCUCCGGGUUGGUACAGGUGUCUGAGGGCAAGGGAAGGUUAGACGGUCAGACCCCAUUUUCUUUCCGGCUAACAAAAGAUCCGAAAGAGCGGGCACUCUCGCCUCGUAGGGAGGAAAUCAUUCUCCUACAAUCAAUCACCUAUAACUAACACCAGCUUGACCUUUGCCCCGCCAGUCAUCAAUUGGAAGCGCGCAAUGUGUAGUAGUAGGAGUCGUCUGAGUAGGAGGAAUAGUCGGAGUGGUAGGAGUCGUCGGUUCGUCUAUUCAAAGCAAGACGGGAGGAUCUCUCUCAAUAAAGGAAUUAGUGGAUGGAUUUCAUACCAAUGCAGGAAUUGGAUCAACAUUGAAUUGGUUUAGAGGGACCCUCAUAUCCAAAUAAUACAUAAUUGAUUAUAGGAACCCUUUCCCUAUAUACGUAAAGGCAGCCCAAUAUACUGUUAAAGAUGAGCACUUAACCAAUAUACUGUUAAAGAUGAGCACUUAUUAACUAAGAUACAGUUUCAGAUGCAGAUACAGUGAAAGAGAAGCAAGCACUAUAAGUAUACAAUACGAUGGAUUCACUUCACCCUUAACUAAAGCCAGGGCACGGCACCCUUAUCUAUGAUUCUUUUCCAAGCGGAGUUCAAUCUCUUUUGAAUAUUAAUAAGGAACACUUAUUCCAUAAUAAAGUCCAUUCAUUCACUCUAAACUAUCAUUGAAAGAGCAGUGCUCACAUUAUCUAAAUUAGAGAAUCCAAUUGGGUAACAACCUUAUAACUCAACAACUUACGUUAGCACAAACUAGCAACAAACUAAUACUAAUGCUUGCUAACGUGCAACUCAGACAAUUCACUACAGCGUAACAAACAAGCAAGGUUUCUGGUUUCUGAUGAUACUUUAUGCUUUUUUGAUUUGAGUCACUUUUUCUUUAUAAGUAAGUAACAAACAAUACAGCUUUCUCUUCUUCUGCCUGACCGACCCAACCUACGUAAUCUUCAUCUUUCCGGCCGGGAGAUAGCGGAAUUCAAGGUUAGCUGAACUUUCCAAUCGGACAAGGCUUUCGUGCUAGUAGGAGUCAGAUGCCCCUUAUUAUUGAGGUCUCCGGUGGACGUUCCCUUAGUUCCGCUCGCCGCUACUUUCUUUAGUCAAGCUGUGCAACUCGUGCUUUUGAUUCUUUAGUCAAGCUGUGCAACUCGUGCUUUUGAUAGGAAGUUGUUCUUCUGUGAAACUCUUACUUUUGUUGAUAGGAAGUUCCUCUUCUAAAGAUAUUCCUCUUGUGGUUAUGAUUUCAAAUACAUAUCAUACCUUCCUUCUAUAGGGUUCAGACUACCAGCCAAUGAUGGACCUGGGCCUACUACUGCCCAUUCUCAAAUGAAGUAUCAAAUCCAGUUACAAAAGUCAAACUACUUGUCUUCCCCCCCAAAGAGCAGUGGAAAUCAACCAAUGGGAAGCAGCAUACACUUAUGAGCAUGGUCCGCUCGUCUAAGGUUUCGAGACAAGAGUGGAGGAGACGUUUUCAAGUGUGCAUGUGCCAAUUUCGGGUUUGGUAAUGCUAAUAGCCGUUGUUGAUGAACCUCUUUCAAAGCCUCUUACUCUAUUCCAGUUAAUAAUCAUUCUUUCAGAUCUUUUCAUAAGCUUGGCAGAUAAGAGUCAUUGGGAAUAAUAUUCUAACCCUAGAAGCGAAAAGCUGUAAAGGCAGUCCUUCUUGUUUAGUUUGAUCAGGUCUUUCUUUGUCUUUGGCAAAGUUUAUAAAAGAGAGCCAAAUCGGAAUAGGACAGAAUUCAAGUGAAUCUUGCAAGGGCAAUCAUAGUUGUUAAAGCUAAUCUUGCAGGACAAUCAUAGUUGUUAAAGCUAAUCUUGCAAGGACAAUCAUAGUUGCCUGGGUGGGGGACUAGACUCAAAGCUCGGUUCCGACCAUUCCCGCUAAAGAAAAGCCAUUGCUGACGAAAACGAAAAGGGUAGGCGGUUGGACCUAGGACAUGUGUGGCAUAGCACAUUCGAGAAGGGCAAAGGGCUUUCUUACCAUUUGAAGCAAGUGCCUAAAGAGAUGGAUGAAAGUGACACUAUUGCUACUAUACCUCUUAUCAAAGAACUAACAUAUGCCCGAUGGAAUUGAGCUUCUGCUGUCCCUCCUCUACUCAUUUGAAUGAAAAGGGAUAAGCGCAUAGUAACCUGACUGAAACAAACUAUAGCAGAAUACUCAAUAGCAUUGGAAAAAGGGAUGACAGACGCUCUAUUUUAGUAAGAGUACAAGAAUGGAUACUUUCCACUCGGGACAGCACUAAAACUGUUGUACCUGAUUCUUUAUCAUGUCCCCUCGAUGACAAAAACUUGACUUGCUAGUUAGGGAGCGGCAAUGGCGUAACCCCAACUUACCUCAGAAUCGCUUGUGUGAUCUUGUUGGAGUAAGUGAGAGAGUUCAGUUACUUAUUUACUUGGUGCACUCAAUUCGUUUCUUGGUCAAAUGUCAAAAGGAGACCCCUCUUCCGGACCACGAUUGGAGAUUCCGUCCAGGCAUUGCACCUGCUCAACAUUAGGUGAAAGAAUGCCUUGCUGCAGAUUGAGUUGGCGCAGAAAGAAUAGGAUCAUAUAUCUUCUUCUACAAACUGAUUAUAGAAGGGUAGUAACUAAACUCCGAAACAACAAUAAGAUAAGUAUUAGCGCUUACGCUUAGUAUUGUUCGGGCUGCCUCUCUAUACGUUUUGAUUCUUUCCUUAGCGCUCUGGGGGGUGAAAUCCAUGCCAUGCCUUUAUUGAUACUUUCUUUCCUUCCCUGUACAAACAAGCGAAAGCGCCCGCAUCUUGACUAUAGGGCUAAUUGUGAAAGCACAGAUCAUGUUGGGCAGACCAAAUCCAAUUCCGGAAUCUAGUGAAUGUCGGUACCUAAAACAAGGAUAAAGAGAAGAUAAGAUAAGAUGGGCACCAUGAUCAAACUAGGAGAAAGAUAAGAUGGGCACCAUGAUCGACCUCUAUGGGAAGUUUCCUUAAGCCACUCCCCUCUUUCCCUGAAACCUUACCAAUGUGCCUCAUAGAAGAACCCUAACAGAUUACUCUCAAGAAUAUCAUAGAACUACCUUUACCUAAAGAAAAUCCAUAAUGUUGGCACCCCAAUACACAAACUGAUUGACCGGAAACCAAUUACGGCAAGUUGUGGGCAAGCCUAUAUACGUUUUCUUUAUUAUUGACCCGCACCCCAUACUAAACCAUCAUAAAGAGGCACUCAAUACUAUGGACUAAGAAAGGAAUGAUAUUUGUUAACUAAGCAGUAAUGAAAAGCCGGAGAUUUGGAAGUCUCAAAGACAAGGGCACCUGAGUAAGCUCUCUAAACAGUUUAGUUACUAUCCAAAUUGGAAUUAAUAGGAGAAAGGGAUAUUCAAAGGAACAAGAGCAAGCAACGAAAUAAUCCAGAAUAGAAUGAAAUGGAAUCUAGCACAAUAUAUAUGAUAGUAAAAACACAGCACUGCAACACACACUACUAAUCUAUCGCACAACGGCAAACAAACAUUAGCAUAAGGGCGAAGUAGAAACUGUAAUUACGGUUAACUUAUCUAACUGGGCCUCUGUCCUAAUGCCUAUGCCUCUGUUCUGAAUGUCAUUUGUGUAUUGGAUACCUAAGAAACUAACUGUUGACCUUUUUCUUUUCUUAUGAAUUUAGUGCAAAAGAAUAGAAGAAAGCGUUCAUCAUAUAUAUAGAGAAUAGAAGAAAGCGUUCAUCAUAUAGAGAAGAUAAUCAAGCGUUUUCAUCAUAUAGAGAAGGAUAAGAAAGCGUUUUCAUCAUAUAGAAUUUAGUGAACAAACUGCGCGGACUCCUCCAAAGCUUCACGCGAACUCAAUAAGCUGCCCCGCUCGAAUAAGCGUUAGCACCCCAGCAAGCACAAUAAGCCUAACACACAAGCAAACUAAGUUAGCGGAACUUCACUCCUAACUCUAAACUCACUGUUUACUCAACUGCUUCCUGCUUUUAUUCAAGUAAGGCGCACAACAUCUUUUUUCAUUGAACUAGUAGCUUUCAGUAAUUCCGUUUGCUCUUUCUCUCUUUCUUGCUGCUCCUUGAUUCCCUCUUAUUGUUCUUUCCCUUUUGACUUGGGCUUACUGGCAUCUGAUUCUCUAUACUUCCACCUAUUUACUCUAUACUUCCACCUAUUUACUCUAUACUUAACCCUACUAUUUCUAAAUAAGCAAACUGUCCGCAGCAUCCAUGGCAGAGGGCAAAUCCUUCCACCCUGCCUCCUUAGUUCCGUGCCAAUGAUUGUAGACCAGACGUUCAAUUGAAGAGCUGCUUGUCCUACUCGGGCAUAUUAUGGAUUUCAAGCAUUCAGGAACGGAAUUCUUUCACAUAUUCCCUAACCAUGCCAGUAUGCUUCAAUUUCUUGAGUUAGUCUCUUACAUACAUGCUUUCUUGCAAGGAAGGAACUUCUCCUUCUAUUCUUUCUUCAUAACUUCCCCCAUCUUUCAAUCUUAGGACGGACAGCAUAAGCAUCAUCCUCUAUAUCCGUCUUCUCCACCAGAGUUUGGCAUCCCCAGUGAGAGAUAUAUUGAUUGGAUUGUGACCUUUUCUCCCUCUGGAACACGAGCAUGAAGUACUCCCCCAUAUCCAAAAGGUUUAUCCAAGUGCUUGACAUACCGAGUGCCACUUAACGAUUUCGGGUCUGGGACAGCUGAAUCGAUAGCCUCUCCUCAAUCUCCCUCCUAUCUACCACCAAUAACCCUCCUAUCUACCACCAAUAAUAGAAUGAGACUUGUCUUCUUCCCAGGAUAUGCUAUCCGCGAUACCUUCUUUCGUCGAAACUAACAUCUGCUUAGACUUCGUAUCUAGAAAAGAAAGGGCUCUCGCGAUCAAGGACUUUUCGCUCCUUGGUUCAACGCUAAGUCGACUGAUGAUCAGGAAGUCUAUAGGGGCUGAAUCCUAUUAUCUUAUUUCGCGACUAUACCCCUAGGACAAAUAGCCUUCUUUAGUUUGUCUAAUUAGAGCGGUCAAGUCCGUCCGUCCCGGUUGGUUGGUUCGGUUGAGUUCUGACUCUUUCAUGGCGACAAUCCGUUUCAUCUCUCUAGUAAUCGACCAACGCAGAAUAAUAACCUUAAAGGAAACACCUAUGAAACCGAUCACUGGAAUACCUGUAACAGUACCAAUCAGCCAAGGAAGAAUCUUUCUAGUAGUCUCGGCCAUUUCCCCUACUUUCUUCCACAUUUGGUUCAUUCGGGUUUGAUUGUGUCAUAACUGCUAUAUAAUGAUCAAUUAGGUUUAUAGUUGGAUGAACAGCAUUGGUUAUAUUGACCCCAAUAAAGAAACGGUAGGUACAGCUAGUCCGUGAACAGUAAACCAUAGCACUGUUCCAAAUGGGAUAGAUUCCAUUUAUGGUUAUUGGGGACCGUAUUCCUUAUAUGUAUAUGAAUUCAAAAAGGAGAAAUGAAUCGAGUUGUUCCAAAGAAUCAGCCCGGUUAUCAAUGGAAUACCUUGUCGGCUAUCUGUUAAAUACUCUUUGGCCGAGGACUUCCAAACACGUCGUAAGCUAAAACCAAUACAGACGAAUAACCAACCCGCAAUGAAUAGGUAUGGAAGGUAUUCUCAUAUAUAGGUAUGGAAGGUAUUCUCAUAUAGAUCCGCAAUGAAUAGGUAUGGAAGGGUAUUCUCAUAUAUAGGUAUGGAAGGCCUCUAAUAUGGAUGAAUGACCCAGUAUCAAUACAGUUUCUAAUAUCAGCAAUAGAAUGUUAUCUCGUGCUUCCAGACAUUCUGAGCUCCACUUCAUUAUUGUACAUUCAAAAAGGGAAUCGAUUCCUUGAAAGAUGGGAUCAGUAAAUAGAGAACUACGGAUAUUGCAUCUUUGUGAGAUCGUCAAUUUAGUAUAGAAGGGUGUUUUAUUUAAAGUAUACCGAAUCAGUAUAGCUAUCCUUCCUCUGGCACAGCAACGCAGUCUCGAUCGGUACCGAAAUGCUACUACAUUCCUUUGUUGUUCCUUGUCUAUGCACAUAACUCUAUGUUAUUCAAUGGAUCAAUAGAAAAUGACUCCAAUUCAAUCUCAAGAGCCUUUGACUUUUCUUUUAGGAAAGAGAGCAAUCUCAUAAUCCUUAUUAAUAGCGAGGGAAAUCCUUAUUAAUAGCGAGGGAAGUCCUUAUUAAUAGCGAGGGAAGGUCGGUCAAUAAUAUAGGUAGUUUUGGGCUGUUCCAUUCUUUUGAUUUCAUGUUAUGGGUUGGUCUACGAAUUCCAUUAUUAGAUACUAGCCUUAAGACUAAGGACCCUGAAUGAGUAUAUACUUGUUUCAUAAAGGAAGCAGUAACCCAGUUUGCCAUAUUCGUGAUGCAACCGUUAUUGUAUUAGAUCCAAAACAAAGGUUCUUUCUUGACCGAACUAUAAGUAUGGAACUCUAUUAUAUGGAAAGACAGAAUAUGGAAUUUAGCGAAGUAGAAAGUAUCGUUUUGAAACCAACCUGUUGACUUUUUCUUGAAUGAAUUACGCCGUCCCUACGGUUCCUCUCCCUCCUACCCUUUGAAGAAUCGUUCAACUCAUUAUCAAUUUAUGGAAUCUAUAGUGUUCUGUAUCGAAAGCACACUCGCUGGUAGUUCUCAAUGUUUAUCCGAACAUAACAGUUUUCAGAGUAUAGGCGAAACUCCGCUUCCGGGAGUAUAGUCUCCCCAGAAAUAAGAAUGAGUGAAAUGCCAAGCACUUUGCAAAGAAGCAUGCGAUCAACUAUCUGCGUACGAAUUAUGACCCUUCGGGAGAUUUUUCAUCUGGCUUGCAUGAGAGGGAGGAAAUCGGUUUGGUAUCAAAACAAACACACUUUCCUAUUAUUGGAUACUUGAUAAGCUCUCUCAAUCUUGGGAAUCUAUCUCAAUGCAGUUCAACAUCAAUUCUUUCUCACCCGCCUCGCGUAAGCACAAUGCCUUUCGCCCUUUGUUUGUUGCUUCUGGAACUACACUCGUAUUCAGCAGAUCCUUAAUCUUGGGUCAGGAAUUGCUUCUCAAUAGGGAACCCACGUGAUGGUCUGGUAUCUCCCAAUCCGCUUCCCGGUUGCCCAGGUUCGUCAAAAGGGAAAAGUCGCUUGGGACAGUAAGUGUCUUAGGGCCCAAAUGAAGAAUGCAUUGAUCCAGGGCAGGGGGCGCCUCCCGAAAUAAUCAACUGACUCUUCAAUCAAGUCGCUAAAGAUUCUCUAUCUUCCUGCUUUUCAAGACCCGAUAGGUCAAAUCAAAAGCACAAUGGGAAGUGCGAUAUAGCCUUGCUUAUGCUUUUCAAGACCCGAUAAGUAGAAUCAAGAGCACAAUGGGAAGUGUGAUAUAGCCUUGGAAACAAAUGGUACCACGGAGAGAGAUGUCAGAUUCCAUUCCAUAUGUGAUUGAUGUCGUAUUGAUGAGGCAGAGUUGAGCUAGUGAACAAGUCGUUGGCGUUGUGCUUACUUUGUUUCGGGGCUACCCUAGCGCUUGCUUCUUUUUGAUUAAAGUCAAAACACACACACUUCCGUUUAUUAUGCUUUGUGCUCUACUUUAGCAGUUUAUGAAUAAGGUAAUCUCGCGUCUAGAGCUAGGUGUGCAUAGCAUAUAAUAGCAGUCUGGGACCCUAAUCUCAGUGAUAUUGUAUUUACUCUUUCAUUAUUUACCGUGGGAGGUAUAAAGCCGCUCCUAUUUCUUGUGCAAAACUAGGGAAUACGUCCUAAAAACCAGCUAAGGAACUACCGAGCAGAAGCACUUAAGCCCUGACUUACAAAGAGUUAUCCAGAGGAGGAGACGCAGGAGCAGUUUCUUUAAAUCCAGUCAUUUCAGUUGAAUAUCCCGCUUCGCCAUAAGAAGAAGUUCAUGCUCUAUUGCAAAGUACUAAUUUUCAAAAAAGAAAGAAAUUGAUAGAAUUUCAAACUUAACGCUCCGAAUGAUUGAUGGUUCACUCAAUACACCCUCUCCUCUGUUAACUGACCGGCACUGAAAGCAAUGGCACUGAAAGCAAUAGUAAUUGAGCUCAAAGGCGCCGAUGCAAGUAAAAGAGGUCUGGUCAGGGAGAAUCAAUGGAAUAAACAGAGCUUUCUUAAGGUUUCUCAAGACUAUGUUUGAUGGUUUCUCAAGACUAUGUUAGGUGGGAAGUAGGAAGAAUUAGGUUUUCUCGUUGUUUAACAACUGUUAACUAAUCAAAUAGUUAAUUACUUAUUAAAGACCCCAUCAAACUUGAGCUAUUUAAACGUUAGGUAAGGGUCCUAUCCUUUUCUAGGAGUUCCUUACUUCUUUGACUUUUCUUUCAAUGGGUGAAUCAAUUCGGUCGACAUUUCGGACACAGUAAACACUUAGAGGAGCUAUGCGGGAAUCUCUCUUGCAAAGGUCGGGAAGUGAGUUUUGAAGCAUUAGUAAGGGGGAAGGAUCCCUUUCCUUUCUCAGGGCACUCUAAUAGAAGCCUGCGUGGUUCAACUCCUUAGUUUGGGACAUCUGCACAUAUGGGAUCGUGCCUCUGGGCUGCGCUGCGCACGAGAGGAUUCCUGCUAGUAUGUUCGUGUUCGUGCCUAGCGCCCGAGUUUCAAUGCUAAAUAAGAACAUACUUUUUGCUUCCUGCUCGUCUGAUUGUAAAGAGUGGUCACCUAACACGCGGUCGGCACGCGUUACUCUUUCGGGUGGAAGGAAUUUCAUCGUAUACCAAGAUUUCUUCAAGAUAAACUAUUAUUGAAAUAAGGAUUUCUUCACGUAAUCCAUCCAUAAACCCCCGGUUACCUUCGUCACCGUCACGACUCUUUCCAAAGGUUACCCGUCAUCUCAUCUCCAGUGGACUUCAAUCGCGAAUUCUCAGGUGGAAUCAUUUUAGGAAGGGCAAAUGAGACUGGCCUGAUCCUUUGAGUCCCUGGGGCUUUGACUUCUAAACGUCUUCGUUCGUGGUGCAUUCUUUCAGUCCCGAAAAAGGGGUUAGCCCUCCUGGAAUCCUUCUCCUUCUAUCUCUCUCUAAAGUUGAAACCCUAGCAUCUGACUCCGCGGUUACCUUGAUCCUCAAAGUAGUAACCAUCCUUUCUUACAAAAAAAGGUGCAAUUGUGGAAUCCCGAAGAUGCAAUUGUGGAAUCCCGAAGAAAGAAGAACUCCUUAUCGGGGGUUUGCUAAAGAUUUCUAUCAAAGUGGGGGCUAGGCUAACUCCUCGAGUGACAAACGAUUGCUUUAGCUUUCUUGGUUGACUAUUCCAGAGUACUUUCGGUGCCUGCUAACGUCCAAAUAGCAAAAUCACUCCACUUCCGACUUUUCCUUAGCCUUACUUAGGAGUCUCAAAUAACAGGCAUUACAUUAGAACAUUCGUUCCUAGUUUUUGAAUGGAAUAGUUUGAUCAAAUCUCCAAGAAUCAAAAGUAUAACUCGCUCGAAUGUGAUUCAAUUAGAAUUCUUAUAUCCCACUGACUUCCCCACCCAACUAACUCCCUUUGCUUUCAUUCCCUGGGCCAAGCAACUACGUGACUUCUCAAUCUCAUUUACCACUUCGUCUUGUGUUUCACUGGCUUUGAAGAAUCAUAAAGAUCCGGAUCUACUGCUGGGCGAGAGGGUAAACUUCACUAUGUCUUUACUCACUUCUAUAUUUGGUGCUUUAAACACAUUAUGGAAAUAUUCUUUGUGAAAUAUUCUUUGAUUUGACUUGUGUAUUAGCUGGAAUAGAGUCCUUGAAAGGAAACACUCUAACCUGCGAGCGGCGAGCUGGACAAUAAGACCUUUUCGCGUCUAUAUGCCUUUGUUCAACUCAACGUAGCUUAUGUCAUAUCUCCACAUUUAGACUCUGCUAUCGGCCCUGAUAAUUCACAUUUGAGCCUAGAAAGAUGGAUCACAUUCUAUUCCCCUGUUGUUUACCCUUACUUAAACAACGAUAAUGGGAAUUGAGCUGAGCAAGAAAAGAUUUCACUGACGCCACGUUAGCUUGUUAACUUGUUCUCGCUCGUGAAAACAAAAGAGACUCCACUGAAAUACUUAGCGCACCGGAAGUUAGGGCAAAUAAGGAUUGAACGCCAGAUAUAGAGAGUAGUUAACCAGAUUGAGAGUCCUUUCGGACCCGCUUCCUUCCUUAUUACUCUGAUUCUAUAUACGAUAACACUAGAACAAGCUAAUACUGGAAUUGCCGCCAAUAACGGAUCUAGCAGAGAAUGCCCGAACUCAUUCAAUAAGAAAGAUGUUUCUUGCGUUGCCCGAGCUCACUAGAGAACCCUAGCUAUAGUAAUUAUGAUAUAUUCUUAGACUUACGUAUCGGGUAACUGCACAUACUCCUUGUUCUUGCGAACGGCUUGUUUAAUUGCUGAACUAACUCCUAAGCGCUUAAUUCUACUAAGCUUAUUCUCUUGCACAUUGUAUAGAAAGAGUAAUCGAACUGCUUAAGUAGCAUAGUAUAGUAUAGAAUAAUAUAUGAAACAAAUAGUCAAGAAGAAGAUAUUAAGCAAACGGCUAUUACUUGAAAAUAAAGUGAGCCCACCUCCCUUGCUUUUAAAAGAAUGGAAAUUAGUGAACUUAGGAGCAGCGCAAACAAGCAAUGGCGCUAUUGUGUUUGGGUGCAACUUACUAUUAGUUUCCAGAACAAGUCCAUUAUUUUAGGCAAAGAUGCAUUUAUAGGACAUAGGCAUUAGGCACCCGCUUAAAGUCACCCCAAGUCUUGUGUUUUAGCUAAAGUGAAGUUAAUUGCGUGCGCGUUACGUUAUAAGAGUUAUCGUCGUUGAACAGAGGUUGACUACCCGUCAUAGCUCAUUCCAUUUCAGACCCGCUGAGGCUACUAACGCCGAGAUGUCGCAAAAGGUCUAAAUUCUCUUCUUAAAGCAAAGGUGCUGAAAGCCUGUUUGUUUACUCAAUCAUAAUCAUAUUAUAUUAAUUGUAUAUGCGAGAUAUCUUCUUUCAUUCAAGGUAGCGGAAAAGGCCCAGACUUCUUGUUAAUGGUUGCGAGAGCAGUUAAGUAGAAAGUGGAAUAGCCUGUUUAUUAUAUUAGAAGUCAUAAUGUGCUCUCUAUUGUAGAUGUAGAGGGUGCGCCUGCCUAUUUGUUCUUAAAGGAAGCAAUGUAGUGAAGAAGCAUCAAACUUAAAGGAAGCAAUGUAGUGAAGAAGCAUAAAAAGCAAUGGCAACAUCGCGUGUUAGAGAGUCCGUCCCAAGGUAUAAAUGCUCUUAUUCUUCACAGUUCAGUGAGUUGACGUUCUUCUAUCAUAUGAGGUGCAUACGAGUCAUUAUUAUCCGCCCGAUACAACUACGCAUACCAUACCAUACCUUCUUACCGACCUUUUAUUACACUUUGGUACCCGCUCGCUUUCGGCAGUGAGUAAGGGCAGUGAACAAACAACGGAACCUGUGCACUCCAUUCUCUUCUGCAGUCCGGUUACUUAAUUAUAGGAAUUGCAAGCUAUAUUCAUUUCUUCAAUUCGAACUUUUGAGUGGUACAAAGAGAGUUCCAUUCCCAUUUGACUUUACUCUGACUGAGCACUAUAAUCAAUGGUUCAGUUCAUUCUUUUGCUUGUGCGCUAGGAGCUCUUGUUGAGUUUGCCAAUCUUCUCAUUCUCUUCUCAAUAAUACAGGCUACGAAACGAGAAACGAGACUGGAACCUCUGUGGGGCCUGUCACUAGCUACCUAUGCGAAUUCACGUGAGCACUACUUGUUGCUUCCUUUCCUUACAAGCUCAUAUCGGCAAAGAAGAGGAACUCUACUCGUAACACAGCUUUGCUUCAGGCUUACAGCCCGGGGGGCGCCAAAAGAGAAGUAGUAACCUAACACUCCACUCGCUCAUGCACCUCUUAUGUCCAAAAGUAAUCUCACUGAAAACUCACUACUAUACAAAUGGCACAAGUCAAAGAACUGGCAAACAGGAAUAUUUCUUUCGAGCUAAAUAAGUGUAUAGGAAUCUUACCAAAAUCUAUACCCUCACGUGUUUUGUUCUCUUGAAAAAGACGGGUUGAGGCCUUGUUCCUCGAAAGCGAACUUUGCACUGAGACUUGAUACUCCAUAUAGAAGUACUUCUGACCUUUCACCUUGAUUAUUGCCUUCUCAACUAACACCCGAACUAUCCUUUCAAACGAGGAAAACUGUACUUCCGGGCAGCUACCUAUCGCCGACAAGAGGACUCGUUUUUUGUUCCUAACUCUCCCCUUGAAGACUUCCGGGCAGCUACCUAUCGCCGACAAGAGGACUCGUUUGUUGCUCCUAACUCUCCCCUGGAAGACUCCCAAUCAAUAACCUCUCUUUACGACUUCCCACUUGCAGGAUACCCUGAUCUGCGCACAGCUUUCUAUUCUACUCUGAUUAUCGAGUCUCCUUUCCUGGGCACUCACAGAAAUAUCAUAGUAAUCAGUAUACCUUGCUUCAAAACAAAAGUACAGGCAAAGAAGCGAGGUGUCGUCCAAGUGGCGUCAGGAGUUUUCAAAAGAAAAGAAUCAAAUCUUCACUGACUUCAGGAGAAUCUAUUAUACAACACUAAACACUGUAUUGCUUGAUUUCUUUCUUGCGCAGAGCUCUCAUUGCAUCUAAUAACCCAAACUCCAGACUGCUUGUUCUUUUCUUUCGCCCUUUUUUGAUACCUGAGACUAGAGACCCCCUUACCUUGCAUGUUCCGUUAGUGCAAGUCGCCAAGUAACUACGCCAAGCUACUACGUGAGGCUCUGAUUCUCUUUUGGACUGUACCCUCAUUUAGUAGAUUAGUGUUCGAAAUAGCAUUUCGCCCUAAUAACACCUUCUUAUUAUAUGGGAUAGGAUAACACCUUCUGAUUAUAGGAGAUAGGAGAUCCUGAUGUCAAUUUCGGGGUAGCAUGUAAUAUUGAUGAACGUGUCAUUUCAAACAACAAAGGGGGAAUACAGCUGCUAAAAAGAGGAAAUCAAGACUUAGAAAGAUGGAAGAAUCAAAGCAUAAUAACCUACUUUGUGAAGUUGACUGCGAAGGUGCUAAUUAUACGCCCAAAAAGGUUGAGUGAAAUACAAAUAAAUGAGAUUAAGGCAACCAAUCUGUUCCCGUGUUAUCGAUUAGAGGCUAAUCCAGAAAGAAAGGAUUUAUAUCAGUUGAAAAAGAGGUGUUAUCGCCCGCUGCCUAGGUUUGAUUUCUUGAGAUUGUAUGCGACAAUAAUGCAUAGAGCGAAAGCAAGCGUUAAAGAGGAAAUCCGCUAUGUUGAACCUUGCCCUAGCUUGUUUAUUCGCCGCGAAGCUGACUAUUUGAGUAAAAACAAACGGGCACUUCCCAUAGAGACUCUUACCAUUUGAAUAGAACUCCCAUAAUAAGCAAGGGAUCCACGGAAGGAUGCGGGAUUAGCAAUAACUCUGACCAAAGGGAAUUGGAUCUCUUUACUCUUUCCCUAAAACCUAAAUGAGGAGGAUUCCACAGCUGGCCCCGCUCUAUAGAAAGCAAGGGAAAGCCCAGUAACACACUUGAGAAUCUAGUAAAACACUUGAGAAUAGUUUAUAUAGGCAAGCUAAUACUCAAAAAGCGGGAACCCGGAACAAAAACAGGACUGGCUCUUGAUACUGCUACAGCUUCGGCUUACUCACCAGCUCUUGAAACGACUUCUUUAUAAGAAAAAGAGGCAGCUGGGCUCGGUUCCAAAGAGUUAACCUGUGUUCGGCGGUAGCGAGUUAAUAGCUUAAGUGUUUUCUUUCCUUAAUUUGAUUCCAACUUCACUGACUUUAUAUCAGUCCAUACAUGACCUAUAUUGGUAUGAUAAUACGAUGCACUUAACUAAUACUAUUGUAAUGAAGCAUGGGCUACUAUAUGAAACUAUCGGAAUGAAAUCAAUACUUAUAAUAAUUAACGAUCGGACACCAAGCCUUGCUCGCCGGGUAGUAAACCUUACUUGUAACCCCAACUCUCACUCUCUCCCCACUAGAUUAAGCUAUGCAGUUCACCUACGAGUCUCGUGCUCUUGUUUUUCAUUUGGUGGUUGUCCCUUUCAUCCCCGGAGUUUAGGUUUUCGUCUUAUACUCGUUACUUGCAUUCUCCAUCCCGAGUUAUCUGUCUUGUCAACCGACCCAGCUAAGUUUCCAUCAAAUAAUUAAUUGAACUUGUAAGUCCACGCCCUACUUGUGUUCACUUCAAACUAACACAUACCUCUGCUUUCUCUAAGCCCCGCUUGUUAGUGUCCAACAGGUAACUACUAAUAUUGGAAUGUCACCUAUCCCCCACAAUAGCAGACUCCACUUGCUAUACAAUAGAUUGAACUGCCGUUACUCGAUCUCAUUAUGUCGAUCCUGUCUCUCGUUCUCCAAACACUGCUAACAGGGCUCUACAGCUCGGAACCCAGGCUCUCACUUAUUGAUUUUACCAACCAGAGGUAUUCCUACUAUUUACCCGGAAUACGAACCUUGCUCUACCAGCGAUAACUCUUACUGCCCUUUUUCUCAUUCCUUUACUAAUUACUUCGAAGCUGUCUUUACUUUCUUUGACUCUUUAACUAAUGAUGGAGCUUUGACUCUUUUACUAAUGAUAGGGAGGCUUACUAUUCCUAUUUGCGUUCUGUAUUUACUUGCUUAUAUUCUGACAGUAUAUACAAUGGGCGCUGCCCCUACUACUUCAAAUACCAAAUCUAAGGUCUUGCUUUAUUCGCUUUGAAACUAUAUCUCCUCGCCUUAACUCUUUAACAGUAAUGCCUAUAAGCCUGUCUCUACUGUUUUUCAUUCGACUUAUUACUAGACCAGAGUUCGACUCACCAAGACACGGGUGUCGCGGUAGCGAGUUAACACCCCUAGCUCCUAUUCUCACUACACUGUCUUUGAUUCUAAGACCGCUGAUCCGGAUCCUGUCACUGUACCUUGGCUUCAAAGCAACCCUUCCUUUGUUUAAGUCCGAUUCCUCUACUUUCAGAAGAUACUAUAAUAAGAACGAACUAGUGGGGAGCGUAUCAAACUCGUGCUUCUAAGACCUGACCUUAACCUACAAAAAGGGAAUGACACUGCAAACUACCAGACCUGCCAUUACUGAACCCAACCCUUACAUGUUGGCACAGGGCUCCUUACUUCUUUCACUUGACUUGCUCAUAACUCGCCGCGCAACUACUGACGCUCCUAACUCCUAUUCUUACUAAAAAAUGGAUCAGUCUGUAGCUACUGAUACAGAUCCGGAUCCUUUCUCUUCUAAUAAGGAACUCAAUCAGCAAAAGCAAGACCGAAACAAUUAUUUCGAAUAUGAUAACUGGAACCCGGGAAUGAAACACAAAACUAAGAACUAAUCUACCAAUACACGAAUAUGGCUCCUAUAGAGUAAGAAUAGAAAUCCAGACUUGAACUCAACUCCUAAAGUCACAGGCAGGCUUCAACUUACAACUGGGGGAUCGAACUCAUUAGAUUAGUAUGGGAAUGGGGGUGCCACUACUGAAUGGAACUAAGUAGUAUGAGAUCUGUAGUAUAAGAUUGGAACUCCUUCCUUGCCACCCUUGCUUGUUAGGUUUAGUCUUAUAGUUGACUCUUGCAUUCCUCCCUUCCUGUCUUCAAUGCCUAGUUGAUAGUUUUGUUCUGACUUCUGUGGUUAAUGCCCUCCGCUUAGAGCCUUAGGUCUGCUACUCAAACACAACAGCCUAUGAGUCUUACUAUUCUGACUUUGACACUUAUACUAAAAGGUUUGAACUCAACAGACAGAAGAAAACUCAGCAGUAGUAGAAUCAAACAAGGAAAUAAAAGGCUUAAGAGUUCAUCUCAGAAAAAAGGAUUCACUCCGGCAUACCUAGCAACAAAACUCGAAACACAGGAUUGAACUAAUAAAUAGCGGAAUAAAACCUACUCUAGGCUAAUUGGUGCCCCUCUGGACUUAUACUAGGAACUCAGGCUUACCUUACCGUCCUCAAAGCCUGUAGCUAAUACCUGACACUGGGGAUUCGGCUAGUUGGCACCCAACCCAUACCUAUAAUUAUGAAAAAAGACCUCACCUACUCUGGCUACUUUCAUUCUGAUAUGCACCUGUUAGCCUGCCCCUAUUUCUAUUAUUUUGUACUUCUGGGCAAAUUGGUACCCUGACUUUAUGGUGGAAUUCUGGUUUCUGAGUUUUCAUCUUCUUAUUCCUAUUCUUUACUCGACUUCUUAUUCUUAUAACUACUGUUUGGAUUCUCUUUCUCUUCUUUCAUUCUCUUGUUUCUACUGUGAUCCUAUACUGAUUAUUCUUAUUAUUGGAUUUCAUAACUACUUACUGCCUUCCAUAACGAAAUUGAUUGUUCUCAGUCUCAACUCCCUGCCCUAAGCUCUCAGCUCGGAAUGGCUUAUAAGACUUCAACGAUAGGACCUGGAAGAAAACAACUACUUACUGUCCUUGCCCAAACUACUACUGACUUUCCUUGCCCUCAAGCUAACUCUCUUUCCGAACUCUUCUACCCGGAAUUACUUACCUUAUCUCUAUCUCUAUCCGGAAUUACUUACCUUAUUCUCUAUCUCUUACUGGGGGGCGAGGGCUUGUCUCCGCUCUGAUUCACCACCUGCAUAGUAUGUACUAGUAUAAAGAAAUAUCAUAUUGGUUUAUUGUUUUCACCGUUAUUAGUAAGAUGUAUAAAGAAAUAUCAUAUUGGUUUAUUGGUCUGUAUUGGUGGUAAGCUAAAGAAGAGAGCUUCUACGCGCUAAGAGAGAGAGAGAGGAAUAGAGCCGCUACGUUCAGUUCAGUCAAGUAACGAGGAAAAGCCAAAUGGAAUGAAUGUCUUACUUCUGAGUGAGAGCGCUAGUAAGAGCUAAUGCUUUGCUUUCUCAACACUUUUCACAUAGGAUGGCCCGGCCCGUGGUUUCUCUUGGGGCAUCCUAUGUUCUCGGAAGGGAGGCUAGACUUAUUGACUGAGCGAGACUCCAUCCUACUUUUAUGCAUCCAUCUAGCAAAGCCGCGUGAGUAAAGCACCCUAUACACUUAGUAGUCAAGCCGAAGCUACAUUGUAGACGUGACCGUUCUGUUCUAUUAAGCCUUCCCGCUUUUCCUAUAUCAAACUCAGUAAGAUAUUUACUUGACCUCAAGCUAUCACCUCGACGUUUUGAGAUAGCCUAUAUUUCUAGUUUUGAGCGUAUGCUGUAGCGGGCUUUUUCUUUCUUUUCUCUCCUUACCGGCGAGCCUAUGUGCGAUGCUUGUUUAGGAUUGGAGUCAGCAGGCAAUAGUAACAUCUUCAAACAGGGCAUAAUCGCCUUAUUUCAUUUGCGCGUCACACAAUCCAGCGUAUUUGUCAUGCAUAAACUCAACAGCAAGGUUAGACCUGCUACUGCUGCAACAAUAAGAUGGAAAGCACCUCUGUAGUAGGCUAUGAAGUCCGAUGUGCCGCCGCUUGUGACCCAAGCCUGAAGUAACUGACUCUAAUAAUAAAGUGUACGGAGUAUUGCUUUUCUUUCUUUUAUUUAACCAGCAAACAACGUCGCUCAAAAGAAAAACCCUCAUUUCCGCUUAUGAACCACACCUAUCUUCUCAAUUGCUAACUAAAGCUUGACAUCACCUUCCUUUAUAUGUAUAUAUAAUCUCAUAUUUCAUCUACUUUGUGCUAAAUGGAUAAUAUCAUAUUUCAUCUAUACAGAACCGAGACCUUAACCUCUUCCUAAUAUCUGGGUUCGGUUUUCCUCUUCGCUAGCCGGAGUAUACCACUAGUUCCAAACCCUUUGAAAGAUACAAGGGAAGGGAUCGAUGUCGUUAGGCGAGGUCAACUCUAUCAUAGCUUUCCCUUUGAUAAUCAAUAUAUAAAUAAGCAAGGCAAGUUUGGCUACUACUAUCCCAAUGCAGCAAAGCUAGGUUGUGCUCUUAUGACGGGGAAAGGGUCGACUCCGAAAGAUCAGAGAAAGAACAAUAACCACAUUUGAUCCACACUAAUUGCAAAGAGCCUUUGAGCUACUAUACUGGCAUUUGCUCUAACCGUAGCUUGAACCUUCGUAAUCCAUACUAUACUCUCCGUACCUUAGCUUGUGGUAACCAAUCAUCAAUACUCUCUCAUUUAAUUGUAGUUGAGUUCAGAUUCCGCUUAAGUGAGUUCCAGAAGAGAAGCCUAAAAGCAAUAAAUAAGAAGAACUAGCGUUAGCGAGUUAUUAGUAAGCGCGUUAGUUAGCCCUACUGCUCUCCAAAGUGUUAUAGAAAGUCUCAAGUCAGGUAUCAAUCAAGUGUCAAGUAUCCUUCAAUACUCGUAUAGAUGCGGGUGCCGAUAUUCAAUGGUUAGGUAAAACAAUUAGUCAGUUCCUACAGUCAGGUUACUUCAUUACAUAAUGGGUGCACUCAAUUCGUCACUUCAUCAUGCGCGCGUCGUGGUCCAAGUCACUUUUACGCACAGUCGACUCGGGUUCCUAUUGCGUUUGUACUUCUAGUAUAUUAUUAAGGGUAAUAGAGUUCGGGUCAAUAACUGAUAGGACAGACUUUCCGAGUUCGGGUCAAUAACAGAGUUUUGAAGCAAAGCAGCUUGUUACUAUUCCUCUCUUUUUGGAACGCUCAAUUCUCUUUAACAUUAGUCUAAUAUAAGUGUCGCUUACAGAGUUUACGGCAACCAAGGAUACUCUACUCAUAAAAAGCUACAAGAAAACACUGAACAACGCGCUUGCUGCUGACUUUAUACUUAACCGAACCGCUGAAGAAGGACAAAAAGAUAGACCAGAGAGUAUGACAUUGAUUCUUGCCCUCCCGCCUUACUGACAUUCGAACCUUACUGACAUUCUAACAAGUAAUGAGAAAUUAGCAAGCAACAGAACCCAUCUGACACUUGCACUCAAAGCAAAGAGACUCUAACACAAGCUAGCAACUAAGUAGAAUGUUGCUAAGCGCUAACGGAGGCCGCCCCUAUCUCUCUAGGUUUCACCUCUGGUCAACUCAUCUUAUGGCUAAUCUUUCUCGUGCUAUUGAAUUCACUCGCCCCCUUUAUUGCUAUUGAGUAAAGUACUUGAGCGCGGGUGCCAACAUCAUACAUCCUAUAUGAAAAGAGGUCACACACCUACUCAUAUAGCACAACUGAGGUCACACACCUACUUAUAUAGCAAAGAGGCAGCUGAAUCCAACACUCUCAAUUGGGUUAGGACAAAGGCGGAAGCCAUAGUCGGGAUUAUAAGCAUCAUUAUAAUCAGCAGUGCCAACGUCUUGCUUAGUUGCGGCGGAGUUGCUUGGCUCUUAUUCCUAUUCUCACUUUCUUUAUUACCCCCACACUUCUAUUCUUAAAUGCACUAGAUUACAUACUUGCUUUAAGUCUGACCUUCCAUUCAUAAAUUCAUACUUGAGAGUGGAGAGCGCCUAAUCCAAAUACAUAAAGGAACUGGCACCGAGGAAACAAAUACUUAAUGGAAUCUUUAGAGCUCUAAUGAACCCCCUUCUAUGCAAUACUCUAUUCCUUUCUGCUACAACAACUCUUGUUAUCACGGAGUCUUGCCCGAGUCAAGUCAAACAAUGAAUUUUGGAAUAUGACCCGAUCUAUGCCCAAAACCUUUAUAACUUGCAUUAGCCGAAAACAGCACUUUCACUUGCUUGCUCUGCUUGUGCACCAGUACAGGAUUUGAUCUUUAUGAUUUGAUUUAGCGCGUAGCUACGUAGGCAUUGUAUUCGAGAUUCUCUUCGGCUUCCCGCUUAUGGAUUUCUAAUUUAAGUACGAGUGCUUUCUUCGUAGGUAGGCUCAAUCCGAUUCUUCUUAAACCGAUGCAACUAUCUACUUAUAUACUCCCCCGCUUGCACCAGAAACCGGGACUUUUCACUUGUGCAGAAGCAUAAGAUUCUAGAGGAUGAUCGGAUUGCAGGAUAAGAUUUGAUCGCUUAAGUUCUCUUUGCUUGCUUUUCGAGCGCCAAGGAAAACGAUAAUGGAACUUUCUGAACUACUUGCUAUUGGACUUGAGAUUGGAUGAUGCCUCGAACAAUACUCCACUUGAAUAACCGAACUUGAAGAACCGCUUACCACUUCUAUGGCUUAUGAUCUGGAUCUGAAGCCGAAGUGAAGUAGGCUUUAGCUCCUUGUUAGAAUAUCUUUAUUUGUGCUAGUUAAGUACAGAAAGGAAAGUAUGCUGUUCGCCCGAGAUAAUGAAGAGUACAUAGUUUGUAUUUACCAAGAUUUCUCCACCUUGUGCAAGAAGUGCUCAAUAAGAGGAGAUAUUCCAAUUCAUAACUUGAAGCUGUAAUCGAUUCAUCAAGUCGAGAAGAUGUUGAAUCAGGGUAGAAAGCUGGAUCAGAGGAAACUUCAUCAUUAUUGUUCCCAACUUAGGUAUGAUAGAAUAAGGUCACUAACCAUGCGCUCUUAAAUUCAAUUAGAAUAUGAAUGUGCUAUAUCACGUACUAUGUGUUAAUAUUAAUCUAUAUCCGGAGAAGAGUCAAACUUCCCUUAGCCAUAUCCUUGCUCAUACUUUCUUAUUUGAUUCCUAUAGCUGCUACACCUAUACAGGAUUCCUCCCCAAACGUAACAACUUGAAGAUUCUUCGACGAAUAUGUAAGGGCAACUUUACUUGAAACUGGAUACUCUAUCUCUUGAUACAGCUUCGUUUUCUGAUCAAGCAUCACCUCUGUAAUUUCUUACUUGAUUAUAUAUAGAUAUAUAGUGGAUUACUUUAUUAUAUAUAGAUAUUGAGCCUCGCCCUUAUUCUUAUUCUCGGUUCGGCUCCUCUACCUCUGGCUCUAGUACUGUUUCUUGGCCCUUUCCUUUCUCUAACUCUUCUACUGAUUACUCGGAUUCUACUACUCUGGUCUCCCGGGCUUACUUACUGAUCGCAUAUCUGUGUAUUUCACCUUAGAAGCCAACUACUACUGAAAAGACCUUAACGACAACUAUUGGAAUUGAGCAAGCAAAGGGGAAUCCAACCGACGCUUCUAAGACUUCGACUACUCCUAUUGGAAUCAAUAAAGGAAUCCAGAGUGGAACCAACACUAGCAAGGGCGGAACUAGUGCUUUACAGGCUCGAACCAAUGCCAACAGGAAUUCAACGAGGACGCGGGAACCCACCUACAGCUAUUAAGAAUCGGCCUACAACUAAUGGGAACUUGACUAGUUCUCCUGCCUUUACUCGCUUCAAAGGCUUUCAGCACCUUUACUUUCUUUCUAUAACUACUGAACUCAAAGCUAACUUCCUCGAUCCUAUCCUUAGCAUCCUUACUUCUAUUCUUUGAUUUGUCAUUUCCGAACUAUACCUUAUCUUAUUUCUGGAUUUGCUUGUUUUGUUUGUUCAUUCUCUUAUUCGAAUCUAAUAAUUAAUUAGCUUAAUUAGAGCAUGUGUUUUCGUAUAGUAAUAUACUUAUUCUACUCGCUCAGAUGCCCUAGGCACAUAUAACAAGAAAACGAAACUCAUGUAAGAAUGGAGCUACUGACUUCAAUACUAUAGCUCAUAGUAUAGAAUCGAGCAGUGCCCUAACAGACUAUAUCCUCUGUUGGCGUCCUAACCUCCGGAAUAACUCAUAUGGCUAUCAUAAUGGAACUGGGGCUAAUCAGACUCAACCACAGCAACAGAGGAAUGAAAUGGGAAACAAGGGAACCGGCACUCCCUAUUAGUACACCUGGAGCUGGGGAGCGCUAACAGCUAUUCAGAUUCUUUAGAAGCAGAUUUCUAGCUUUACGCUCCUGACUUUCCGUAAGAAUCUUGUAAUAAGAAUGAGUAAGAGUAGUCGUCUCGUAUGAAGUAGACUGCGCUGAGGAAGAUCAUAAUCUAAGGCCAAGGGGCAUACCGUAAUCUAAGUCAAUUAAGGCAAAGGCCAUUAUCAUGGUAAGACCUCUGUUAACGUAGCCUACGGAGUGGUAAAGAACUGGAACUCAAUUAAGUACUUAGCGCACCCAAAACAGUAUUACUUGUUUCUUUCGCCACUAACCAAGAAAGUCAGUAUCAGCUACAGCAACUGGUACUAGGCCUGGGACUGGGCCUGGACCCGUACUGUCUGAUUCUCAAAAGUCAACAAAUCAUUUCAUCUAUCGAGCAAGAAAAUCCAUUUACCUAGAAACUCCGUUCCGUAAGCACUUAGUCUUAUUGCUUCACCCGGCCUUCUAGUAAUUCGCUAACAACAUGCCCCCUUCCCCCAAGCCCGGCCUUCUAGUAAUUCGCUAACAUUGUUUUCAAUUAAUAUAUCUCUUUUUGACCUUUUCGGCAUUCAUUCGUCUCAAAUGAAUCUAAUCUUGGGUGCGCCUACGGGUGAGAGAAGCAAUCCUCCCUCUAGGUCGUCUAAGAUCUAUUUCUUUCAUACCACCAGGAAGCCUAUUGACUUUCUUUCUCGGUGACUCAACUCAGAAAAUCCCACUUGAUUUUGCUAGCAAUUCUUUUUCACAGCUAUUCUGUAAUAGCCUAUCUUUUAUUAAGCCUGUACUCAAGCAGUUAACCAGAUGUGGGAUCUUUCCCAACAAUAUACUCUACGCCUACUUAUCUUCUCUUCCGAAUCCAAGACUUGGAAAAAACGAUUUCAAGGAGUCAACAGCACUGACCCGCUAUUCCAUAGAUAGCAUAGAGCUACAGCUCCUAAUAGGCUAGCUUUCACAAAAAAGGCUGGAUUUCUCCGUGGGAGAAGUGGAAUCGGAAUCGGUUUCAGAACAAAAGGAACUCAAAGCAGCGCUUUCCCUUUGACCCUUGAAUCUAUCUACUCCGGCUACAGAGCAUGAAUGUGCUCUCGGUGAACUCCCUUUAGAUUCAGAGAAGACUGUUCCUGAUCCAUCCAAAGAACACUUGAGCCUGGUACUCACAGCUAAAGCAUUUCCCUUGUGCCUGCUAUUCCCUCUUCCAGAAGUGAAUCCGGAUCCUCAUCCUCAUCUCUUUCACUCUGGGCUUAUUCAAGAAUAGCUGAUUCUACCCCAGGAUUCGUACAAAUAGAAAGAAGCUGUUAUGCCACCUUCGCCCUAGUACAGGGGGAACUCCUCUAUCUGUUCCGUUGUCAUACUAGAUUCUCUAUUCUACCCUAGAGUAACUCAUUCCCUUUCGAGCUAAUGAGAGCUAACUGGCAAGAAGCAAGAACAUUCUCAGCUAACCGCGAACAGAGCAGAGUUCCGAGUCGCUUAUUUGAAUAUGACACUUAGUAAGCAAGCAUUCCUAACCGAGAAUGAUUAUCUGAUAUUAAGAACGGAACAGUUCCGAACACCUAUCCAAGCCAAGCUCUUUGCCGACUCUAUACCCUAUCUGUUAAUGCUUUUGUUCUGAAAUCGAUUCCUAUUCUUUUGGGGUCCUUGCCCUCCAACCAAGAAAGAUCAGAGAAGCUGGGCGAAAUCCUCUGUGCGGGUAGGAUUGAGACUAUGAUUUAAGGUUACAUUAGCCAAGUUCCAGCAAAAAGCUAGUAGAACUAUAGCCUGCCUUGCGAGGUCUCUCGAGCCUACUGUUAACCAAAGCGCUGAUCUCUUCUUUCCUAGUGAGUAAUAUUCUCCUUAGUUUGUACGCUAUUCGAGUCUUCCCCUUUAUUGUCCUGUCUGCAUAAAGACAGCCUAUGGUUAGUUCUUCCACUCUGCAUAAGGACAGCCUAUGGUUAGCUCUUCCACUCAAGGCUAUGACAAUCUAAAAAGAUAGAGUAGCCACCCUUCCUCCAAGACAGGAAUCGGUCAUUUCUUUCCCUUUAGCCUGCCGCUCUGACUUCUCUUCGCCUGGACUGCAGAACUAUAUUAUAUUCAAUAGCUACUCCCCUCCCUAGAAUCAAUAAAGUAUAAAAGAUAUAAUGAAGGUAUUAAAGACUUCCGACACAAGCGCUGUAACAGGCAUACUUCUACCUAGACCGCGUUCAACCCAACCGAUUACUUGACUUGAUUCCUUAUGGGUUUGGUGUUUCCUAUUAUUGACUUUACUCAGUGUACAUAAUGACAUUCUACCUUGGUUGGUUUCUUAGACUGUUGCUUCUCCUUGAUUCGGAUGGAGCCUUAAACGAAUCCCGGUGAGCAGAAGAAGGAAUCCAUCAAAACCCUGCACCCAAAACCUGUACAUAAAACGACUCACGGCUAACAACAACCCCGUUCGAAAAGACCUUUGACUCUUUUCUUGAUAACUUCGAUUGCUUUCUCCUGAACCAGCGGGUGGUGCGUGCUGACUUGAUCCGAGGUAAGCGUAACUUUCACUUUCGACUUUCCCUUCCGAGUAAUAUAGGAAGAUCUCUAUGGCCAUCUGUGUCCCAUAACGCAUCUAUCCUUGCCACUCUAUCUAGCUUUAUUUAUUUAUUUAUAUUAAGCCCAUACAUCCGAUGAACGAACGCGGAAUGUUGAAAGCAAUGGUAGGCUCACUACGAGUUAAGUAAGCUUUUUGUUUCGCUUCCGGACAAGUAGAAAUAAGCUGUAAGCCACUUAGUAUAAGGAAGGGCUACUUAUAUACUGAGAUACGGCUUUGAACUCAUGAGUUGUUGCCCCCUUUCUAGUUGUGUACAGUAGUACGAUAAGGAAGAUGAUUAGUGAGGAAGUCUAUAAAUGAUGACUAUUCCUUAUCCGUCUUAAGCCCUUCUUUCUACCACAUCUGGACGGAACCUAGAAUCCACAUUGAUUUGAGACUUAUUCUGUAGAUGGACACGAUUUCCUUGACUCUUAUUCUUAUUAAGAUGAAGAUUGAACUGUGACUUAAGGUACUUGUCCGACAGAAACAUCCUUACCUAUCAGGGUGCUUCUUCUAUACCCUUUUCUGGCGCCCCCUCGGACCUAGAGACGUAACCGGAUGGUAUGGGCCUGAGUCCUUUCUUUCACUCGCCCUCACUGGCCUUACCCCGUAUGGCUGUGCUUUCGUCUUCCCCUUCUGGUAACGAAAUGGUUUUACUACUGGAUCGAGUACCUUCUGAGACAAGUAAGUCCGGUGGGGUAGUGGGCUAGGCCCACGAAGGAGGCCGGUAAGUGGGCUAAGAUGCUUGCUUUGGGGGAAUGAGAAAGAAAAAGGCAGCAUGAUAUGAUACUAAGGACAUACCAUUCCUUAUCCAUGGUCAACAACUCUACUAAAUGAGUACGAGUGCUUUGUUGAAUCAGAAUCACAGAACUAGCACAAAAGUAUUCCAACCAAAUCAAUGUUCAGAUGUUCGUCUUCCAACCUAAUCAAUGUUCAGAUGUGCGUCUGCCAACUCACGAGUAGUUACCCUAUCCCUAAUCUAUUACUAUGUUAGAGUAUUCAAGUGUAUAUUAUUCUAUCUGUGCAUAUUAUUCGAACUAAGCCCCGCGUGGCCCUCCCUUCUGCUCGGGAUCACUUCUGUUUCGUUCCCUAUUAGACGAUGGACGAGUUAGGGAGCUAUUACAAAAGAGUGGUGCAAGCAAGUCCUCCCACAACUUCUGAGUCAGUGAGGUGGCUAUGAACUCAAAGUUAUGUCAUAACAGCCUUUUCCUCUUUUUCGUAAGGAAAGAAAGAAAUAAGCAUACUACGUGAGGCCUCGCCAAUUGAUAGGGAGGACCCAUAUUCUUUCCCAGGCGCGGUAUAGUCAAGUCUUGGCGCCCUUUCGGGGUCUCUGGUGUCGAGUCGCUAGAAUAGGAGCAUUGGGCACAACGAAUAAGAUUACAAGAAUAUCCGACAGAGGGGGCAGAACCACCAUAUUGUUGAGAAGACCCACUAGGCCCAAUUCCGUUUCUUUAUAUUCAGAUUCUCUUGAGAUUCAUAUUAUAAGGGAGAUAAGGUGUUCUAUUCAUAUUAUAAGAGAUAAGGGGAUUAGUUUACCUCCAAUAAAAGUCGUCUGUCUUGUUACUAGGAACGCGAAAACAACGAGUGAGUCGAGCUGAGCUUACUUUCGUGGAGGACAACAAAUAGACAGGGUUAACGAACAAACCUAUAGCUUUUACUCCGGGGCUUUUCAUUCAUGUUAUUCAUUGAACGAUUGUUAUUCCUUUCUGUAGAACAUGGAGAGUUACAGGUCUUUUGAUUGAUAGAGACCUUCCUUUGAUUGAGAGAGCCAGAGCCCUUCCGUGGUACAAGGGUAUACAAUUUCCAAUGAGAGACGCACAGAGAAGAGAAGCUUUUAAGCAAAGAAUAAGUCCUUUGCCGGGGUUUUUCUAUCGAUGAAGCCCAGCAGAGUAUCCCGCCCAACUCAACUUACCUCUCCUACUAUAUAGAGGUGUGCGUGAAGCUCGAUAGUAAACAAAUCCAAUGCGGGAAUAGCUCCUCUGAUUACUAUUACUUAAAGCUCAUUUUAUUCAAUUCAAAACUCCGGACCCUGAUUUAUAAGCCCAAACCUGACUUUACAAGUUCUCAACCACACCAGCCUUUGUGAGUAGAAGGCUUUGAACCUGUGUUCCCAAGAAAAGAGCGGCUACACUCUCUUUCUCUUUAUAUGCAAGCACUUGGAUCUCCACGCUAGAAUCCUAAAAAGCACUUCCUAUUUCGUGGAUACUAUCUUUUAUCAGCGCAUGCGAAGGGACUUCCACUACUCACCUCUGGUCCGCAGAAAACACACUUCACCAUAUCCAUAUAAGGUUUAGUAGAUUGUAAGAACAGCAAAGGCAAAUCCGCUGAGCAAAAUAAUAUGGUAUAAGCAAUUCCGAAGCAAGUAAAGAGAGUCCAAUGGAUUUCAUGGCGGGAUGCAAAUUGGCCACUUAAUGCGAGGGGAUGAAAAGAUCGAGACAGCUCUAGCGUGGUGAGAAAACCAUCGAUCCCUAUUCAUUAUUUCAAAUAACAAAUGGGCGCGACUAAACACUGACCCAGGAACGCAGGUAGGUAAGGGUGAUUCAAGUUCCAGAGCCCUAUAAAAGGAUGAGGUAAGGGUGAUUCAAGUUCCAGAGCCCUAUAAAAGGAUGAGGUAAGGGUUUACUGUCUGCAAGCCAGAAUGCUGACUAGCAACACCAGCAGACGGUAGAUUACGAGAAGGAAUUCCAAUGGGUAUGGGAAACUUUCAUGUUAGACUCAAGCUUCUUUCACUACAGGAGAUUUCAUGUUAGACUCAAGCUUCUUCACUACAGGAGAACGGACAGCUUUCGGGAACUGAGAAAUAUAUUAACUGAGCCUUAUCCGCAAGAUUGUUUCAAAACUAAUCCGAGUGGAGACUUUGUAACCACCACUACCUGUUUCAUGGUUAGGAAAAAAGGGUACCUCUUUUCAAAUAGGAAACAUAACAAAGGGAUUUGAGGUAACUAGACAGGAGUCGAAUUCCAUAUUGAUUUGAACAGCAGCUCUUGCUAAUAGCAUAGUAAGCACUAGGGUUCCAAUCAAGACAGCAAUAGUUUUCACAGCUUCCAACUCUGGAAGCGUAUUUGUGUUCCUCCUUGCCUUUUCUGAACCCAAAAUGAGAUUAUAGCCCUUUACCUAUUCAUCUUCGAUCCCCCGCAAUUCCUUUUAAAAAGAGAUAGGAAAACGCUUCAUGAAUGCACUGGUAAGACUCCAUUCUAACCAUAUUAGAAACUCAAUCAUCUUAUCCAAUCCACACACAGCAUCGUUGUGAUAUGUGGCACUCGGCGUAUUUCUAUUGAGAAUAAUAUCCACCCUGGGUUAGAUGUAAGCCAAAGAGUCGACCCGAUACAUAAACCAAAUGUUACAACAUCCAUUUCAGCGAACGCGGAAGAAUAUAGACCCACAUCAGGCAUUAUGUGCAAUGUCUUACCCUUUAUAAGAGGCAAUAAGCUACCUUUAGGUGCCCAAAAACUCGUAAUCCUUCUAUUCCCUUCUCGUCUUCUUUUGAAUUCCUUAUUUAUUCCAUCUCUGUCCUUUGUGAAAUUCCAUUAUUCUCAGGUUUAGCUAAAAUCCCCUUACUAUAUUUAUUAGCAACAAUCGUUGCCAAGAUGGGUAGAGGCCUCCUCAUUACGAGUUGCUGCCUACUUAUCGAUACAACGGAGAAAGCUAGGUAAUGCGCAGACACGGAAUCAAAGACGGGAGGCACAAAGCAUGGGCGACGGACUGAAUAAGUGUUUCGAAUACCACGAGCGCACCUGUCAUAUUUGAUACUGGCACAUCGAGUAGGGAACCGGUGGGUUCGGGGCAACCGGCGUGCUCUCUCUUUUAGGACUAUCUGGCCUAUCUGAAGUAAACAAAUCAUCAGCCACUGUUACUGUGCUUUCGAGCGGAACUUGAACCAACUCCCUUUCCGCGGUCAACUUCCCUUCCAGCUUCAGAUCCUAAUUUCUGAUGCCGCAUAAAUACAAUCAGAUCAAUAAGGCAAUAAGAGUAGAGCUCGAUUCUCUUCGAGAGUGGAUUCGGCUUCGGUUGGUUUAAGAUCCCGUUUCGGCAUCCUCUUUUGUUCCUACUUAAGAUCUUGUAACUGCUGAUGCUGCAAAUCCAUUGGUACUAUAUUCUGCCCUGUACUCUACACUUUCUUACCGGCUUUGAUGCGAGUAGUUUUGAGCUGAGCUCCUGCCGCGCAACUUACGUAGUUGCUUGGCGGCUUUGAUGCUCUAAGUUCAUGAGAGAGUCUAGGUUCUUCUAGUUACGAGUAAGGAGUUAACGCUAGGUGUUCGAGUUGCAUCCUAAGUGAAAGAGAUAGGAGCCGCGGAGUGAUAGUUGCUUUUCUGUUCGUUUCAUUCUGGAAUUCCUUAUUCCAUUUAGUUCCUAUUUCGGUCUACUUUAAAAGGAAUGAUUUCGCAUCGCCAAGUCCUGUCUUCGUGGCGUAAGGAGUGAAUGAAAGUGCUCACCUGAAACCAGAGUUGAGGUCGGAAAAACGAAAUCCUAAGGUACUGGCUUUGAUGCCCUAGCCCUACCUAAGUCAAUCAUACGGGAGAGGUUAGAGUCGAGAAGUAGUUGGAGGUGAUCGGACAAAGUCGACCAGAUCAGAUGCCGAGGGUGAAGAAUCGAUUACUUUACCAGAGCCUGUAGUUUCUCAUUCCAUUCUCCAUUAGGAGAGAAAGAGCACAUCAACUUACUAGGUUUUGGCGAGAGGGCUAAAGCUGGACUUGGUAACAACGCAACUAGUUAUUUGAGUUCCUGUUGCCGCAAGUAUAGUAGUAGCUGGUUGGUUAAGAGCAAUAGACCCAUAGCGGAGUAGCUGGUUGGUUAAGAGCAAUAGACCCAUAGCUAGGAAGAGGUAAAGUCAGAAAAGAAGUAUCAAGUAAAGUUGUCGCGUAUCUACUUAAUUAAGUAAGUAUCUCGUUCCACCGUAAGCAAAGGGUAGACCUAAAGUGCUUGCGCGUAGAGUAUAAUUGGAAAUCCAGUCUCAAGUAGUAAAGCUAGAAUUUCACUCACUCGUCUUAUAGCUCAGCAGUCCGCAUCCUAUCCUAUCCCGUAUCAAGGUAAGAAAAAGAAGAAUGAACUAGGUAUGAGAUAGAUGUAGGUAACAAACCGCCAAGCCAAGCCCUCUUUAUCUAAGUUGAAGCAAAGAAUGCAACUAUCAACUCGAAACUUAGUCUUGCCUCUAUCUCCUCUUCGUGUGACCUCUGAAAGCCUAAAAUCAUUCCAUUUAAAGCGGGUUUGAUCUCUUCGUAGUCCUGCUCAAGGGAAAUGAAACUUCUUCUCGAGUUGACAGCUUACUUCUGGGCUUGUCCCUUUUGGCCUAUGAUAUACCAUUGAAUCUUUACUAACUGAAUUAGGCUCAUCUAACGGAAUUCUUAUACUAUACCUCUGGCUCUUGAUUACUCGUAUACUAGUUGGGGCAAGAGGAUAGUCUGUACGUAGCUUGGCGAGUGGAAUUACUUGUUUUCUUCCAAUACGAGGGUAGGCUCAGUAAACCUCGGAUCCUAUACCUAAUUGGCAGCCUCAGCUACUGAUGCAACAGGACUCCUACUUGAUAUUCCACUUUACCACUACACCACUAUAAGGGGCUGUAAACUUGAGUGGAAUUCUUAUAAUACAGUUAUUGCUCUGGACUAAUAUACUACCCGCUAGUGUUCGCGACUUCAUAUAAGGGCAACUUGACCAGACUAGCAUAGCACUUAGGUUCUCUUUCUCCUAACUCAGGUAUUCCUACUUAUCAGGUCUCAGGUAUUCCUACUUAUCUGGUAUAUAUACUUAGAAUUAGAAGCGGUCUUCCAUUCCACUCCGGACUCCUUUACUAGUGGUAGCUUGGCUCUUACUUGAAACAAGCACUCCCGGCUCAUAUACCUCUGGCAACUGAUACUUCUUUGAUCUCUCUAGCUCAUCUACUUGCCUCUAAAACAUCUACUAGCAAUCCUUAAAGGUAGGCUCACUUCAACUAGAGCACAAGAACGAUCACUCCUAUGCUCACCUAGUAACUGACUUCGGGGAAUUAUGACCUUAUGUACUUGGCCGGUAUGAAACUGGCAGCUGGAAACUCUUCACUUCAACGGAAACUUACCCUCCAACUCUGCCCCAACUCCCUAAGCACUGAGGAAACCAGUAAAACCUUGAAUGGAACUUUCACUUACAUCGGUUUCUGAUCCUGCAGACAAACAAGCAAGAAGUUCACUUUAAGUUGAGCCAACAAAGACAGAUGACUUGAGAACAGUACUAUUUUAUGCUGCUGACUUGCGCCUUAACAGCUUUACCGACACAGUGGAAAUCCAAUCUUCUUCAAGAAGAACUGUUUCUAUACGAGACUCAACAUCAUUUGCUUAUAAUCUAGCUUCGGAUCCUGAUCCUGAUCGCGCGGAUGAUUAAGAUUCAGCUCCUGCUUAUACUUAUAAUUUAGACUCCACCUCAGCCUCCGCAGUUUCUAAUUAUGUCUUCACAUUCUUUCCCUUUUCUGUCGAACUCAACUCUAACUGCUGCUGCACUGGCGAAGUAAACCCCUAAACUGACUGCUUUCAUUCAAGUAAACUAACUCAAGUGAGCUCUCUUAUUACGGAGUCUAUUCUGCCUUACGAACGCUACCUUCGGGUCAAGAUCAGAACUCGCUUGUUUUGAAUUGAGCUGACAUUAUUCUUAGACUUAUUGAAUUCACACUAACACUAACAAAGUCAAGGGAAAAAUCCAAUCAUGGAAUUUGAGAACUAACAGUGAGUAAGCCGACGAAGAAAAAACUCCCUAUGAAAGAAAGCUCGCGUAAGCACAAUGUAUUGUUGCGACUGUGGCAAGUAAAGGAAAACCUGUUAAUUGAAUUGACGCUGAACUGCUUGCAACAUGGAAUUUCUCAUUUCUAUCUAUAAUAGUGACUUGGCUCUUUAUCAGAUUCUUAUAGGAGAACUUCAACUCUUCCUCGAACAGGCAAGCAACUACGGUGACUUCUUUCUAUUAUACCCCCUAAGGCUAGGCACACCUAUAAGGCACCAGUGGAUCUGAACUCAACCCUGAACUGAAGCGGGAAGGAAAGAAUAUAGUCGAGUUGGGUUUUGUCUUAGAGAAUGAAGCCUUUGAUCUGAUUCUCUUUCUGUUCACCUAGGCCUAGUGCGCGUUAGCAGAGGAUGCCUCUAUUCGUUCAAGAGACAGUGUACAAACCAACCCGGAAAGCAUAUAUUUGUUUUGGUCGGGGCACAAGAUAGGUAGAUUAGCCAUUCAAUGAAUUUGAUUAGUUAACAGUCAAAACAAGGCGAUCAUAAAGAUUACCUAAGCUCCCUUAGCGCUAAACUCCAAUCUGUAUUUCUUCAUUAAAGCUUGAACCCCAAAAGAGAUUAUGAGACUUAUUAACUUACCGUACUUCGAGCGUAUUAACAAACCAAACAAAGUAGGGCAAUUAACUACUCAAUUCUGUGUGAAGUCAACAAAGAAUUAAUUGAAUCUAUAUCGCCUAGCAUAGAUAGAACUCUGAGUCAAAAGAACUCUCCAGGGCAGCACGCAUCUCUUCUUAACCGCUACACAGCUUCAGAUCGAGCCGACUCACCCGACCAAGCAAACCUGAGCUUAGUAGCCGAAAAGAACCACUUCAAUUCUAUCUUAUAAUAUAAUAGAACUAGAAUAUAGGAAGGUACAACAGGUACAUGAAUAGUUGGACCCGUGAUUGAGAUGGAAAGUGCCAAUGUACAAUCAAUGGAUUUCUUACUAAAAUCAAAAGAUGGGUUUCGAGCCCCAACCCCUUAAAGUAGUGGUCUAAGUAGGGUGGGUUCAGUGAGUUUGACGGUGAAGGAAGUAUCUACCUUAUCCAACUAACCGUGCCUCUUCCCAUGUCCCUUAAUAUAGGCUUCAUUAAUGUAGCACUGUCCCUUAAUAUAGGCUUCAUUAAUAUAGCAUAGGAUCCAUCCGCCUAAAUUCCAUUCUGACUCUAUGGGUGGAGUAAACCAUUUAUUUGAUUGAUAUAUAAAGAAUUGGGUAACCCAGGAGAGGAGAGGGCACUUCUUCAUUUGAAAGGGAACCCUCCAACUUGAACUUGAAUGACUCAUACUCACUCCUAACUCUGUAAGCGCAAGGACGAACUCAAAACUCGCUUGUGGAAUUCCAUUGAACUGAAUAACUCACUAACGUCAAUGAGGACAGGACUGGAACUAGACUUUCUGCGCACCCCAACCCGGAGACUUCUUUAUUGCUCGACGCACCUAAACUUGUUUCUUGAACUCUACUUGCAGAAGUGCACUAAACUUUACUUCCUUGCUUCAGAUCAGAGAACAGGAACAGCCCAUUCUCUAAGAUAUGAUGAAAGUCGAACAGAGAUUUCAGAACGAUUGUCUUUCUAAGCCCGAAAACGGAUUGAACUGCUCCUGUGUUUGCAACUUUCGGAAUGAGUUUAGAGCGAGCAGCAGAUCAAACUGUUCCUACUCUGCUUAAAGAAGGAGUGAAGAGAUAGAUUAUACAGCUCCUUAACGACUUUAGGAAUGAGUUGAAUCUAUUGCACCGAGGAAACCAUGAAUUGAAGUUAGUCCAUCAGAUUGCCAACUCACUUUGACCACUGAGUCUGCUCUUGAAACUGCUUACACAGAUGACUUUCUAACUGUCUAUUUUGCUGCGGACUUUUGCACUCCACUUUCGUACACAAACUUCGCUGAAAAGCCUUGGUAUUUACAUCUUCGCAAGGAGAGGAGAGCCUCCAUUUUCUGAUGAUUCUGCCCUUCCUUCACUACUACUUGGGGCUGUAAACCUAGAUUUCUCAUCUACAGACCUAUGUGAAAUUCAUUUGAUAGGGAAUACCCGAUUGCUGUUGACUUUCUAACAGGACAUUAUACAGCUGACUGGAGUUACUAUAUCUCUAUUAGGGAAUCAGAGUAAUGAGCUAGGGUCUGCUAGAAGAAUGGAAUGGAAUAAUAUAAUAGUAGAAGAAUGGAAUGGAAUAAGAUGAUAAUAGCCUAACUGGCAUUAGGAAGUCCGACAAGCAACGGCAAGUAGUAGAGACUCAACGGAACUUCCCGUUCCCGCUUCGCUUCAAUUGGACGACUACGUUUAAGUACUAGUUGGGGCAUUGAACAGUACUUGCUUAUGACUUGUACGGAAAAGGGAAAACUCUACUUAAGACUUAACUGCAACACCAACACCACCGCUUGCUACUGACCUAAUACUCUCUGAACCAACAACACCAGAAUCUCUCUGUUGCUUCACAUAUUUACUCCUACAGUUGCUCACAAGAACGGAGCCGCCCUUCUUUCAUUCUGUAGCAGUGGAUAUGAGAUACGAGAUAUAUAGGGUAUACAGUAAUAUAAUAAAACAAUGACUAUAACCAGAAUGGAACUACCAGAAAACGGACUAUAACUACAGUCUCUGAGACUUAAGACUCGUCUACCUUAAUUCUUCCAGUGGGGAGUUCACUCUCAGCCUGACUUGACUUUCUAUCAGCCUUAGUUCCCUUUCCUUAAAGUCUGCCUUCUUGGACUCGGAUUCUUUAACUAUCCCCUAUGGAGGUAUGUCUUUCUUUUCUCUUAAACUACUACUGCCUACCCUAAUUCUGAUUCUAUUGUUUCACUCUGUCUUUUCUGUCUCUAGGGCUCCCUCCCUUUAGUUGAAGUAUGAUUCCUCUGCUAAUAAGAAAUGCACCACUACAUAUGAGGAUGAAAACACUGCUAACAGGGAUGGAACUACCACGAACAGGAAUACACCAAAUACCGAAAGAAUGGAACUCGGGCAACAAACUCAGAUUCCUCUGCUAAUAAGAAUAGAGCUACUACUGAUGGGAACGAAACAAGUAAGUAAAAGAGUUUGAGCUGGGCAAUACUAUGACUCCUUCCUCUUGGCCUACCUCUCCUUCCUUUUAGUAGAGUUUAAGUAUCAGUGAACUAAGGCCCUAAUACAUAAUUAUCGUGCACCCAAGAAUGGAAUUGAGCAGUCGCAGAAUGUGGCUACUAAGAACAAUAAUAAAACAAAGAACUAAUGGAAGCACUCAGAAUUGAACUACUCACUACCAGAAUUGACCUCCUUCUUGACCAACCCUAUCUCUGUUUCUUGCCUACCUACCUAGUGCUGUUUCCUUCCAUUAAUAGCACUCUCACUAUAUAGCUGAGUAAGCCCAAGCCUUAUUCUCUAUGCCUAUGUCCAAGCCUUGCUCUUUUCCUUGUGGUUGAGUCAGCCUUUCCUGUCAGUAAGUGUCUUCACUAUGCUUUUCAUUCUGCAAUUGCUUAUUUCGGUAUUGUAUAUAAUAUUCUCUUAAUGUUGAUUAGGGAAAUUGGGUCUCAAAAAGGCGAGUGGUUUUCUAUUCCAUUGAGAACUGUUGUUUCGGGUGUUAAGUAAACAUCACUCUAGGAAUUAAAGACAGAAGCCGGGAUCCCACUAGUGUUUCUAAAGCUUUAACCCACUAGCAAGACUCCACGAUAUGCAGGCUUAACCACCGUGGCUCGGGUAGCUAACAGUGUGGAUGUAUGCUCUUGACUCUUUAGGUCAAGCUAUUCCUUUAGUUUGUUUAGAUACAACUGCUUAGAUUCGUAGGUUAGCUUAGUAUAUGCUUUAUUGUAGCUCUACCAUUGAAAAACCACUUCUCUGACUUGAAUUCAGUAGUUCGUUUUUUGUCUUGUAGCUACUAUCGAUAUGCUAUGUAAGUGAUAGAAGUGAUGCUAUUAAUUGGAAUUCCUUGCUAAGCACUCAGUGCGCUCAGGGCUUGUUAGACUCUUCGCAAUCGAGGCAGCUAUUACGGAAGAAGAUUUAGGGGUACCCAGGAGACAAAGAGUACUCUGUGCCGGCUUAGACCUGCAACUACUGCUUAUCCUUUGCUUGUGGUAGCUGUCCUCGUAUAAACACCGCUUCGUUCCUAACGAAGCCAUUACCUGUAACCACAUCAUCGAACCUCCUGUACCACAAGAAAGAGGGAGACUUAUUUGCCCAUACUAGCAAGGAUUUCUCCAAUCGACAAACCAACCUUGUUCUAUGAUCCUGCUAUGACCAUGAGGCUACUCUAUAUGGAUCUCCUCAAAUCAAUAUCCUGGAGCGGAAAGCAGUGCUGUCUUCACUCCGGUUUUGCUCUAAAUCAAGUGAUGCUGCUAGUUAGAUCAGAACCUUAAUAGUUUUUAGCUUCACUCAAGUGGUAGGGUCUCAGGAUGACUCGAGUGGACCUCCUAAGAGGCUCUGGCUCCUUAACAGUGGGAAACAAAAGACCCUUUAUUCGUACAGAGCUAGCAUAGGUUUUAUGCACAGGACAGAGCUAGCAUAGGUUUUAUGCACAGGGUUACAGGAGUAGCGAAAGACUGAGCUCGCUCAUGCUCUCAUGCUUCACACAAGCCCAGUAUAGAAAGCUUUUAUUUCCAACCAUAUCAUAUGUAUUCUCCGAUCAAAGAACUAAACAACAGGGAAGGCUUUCCAAGAUUGCUUCCAAGGCGAGGGCUCGGCACAAUUAACUAGUUUCUCGACUUACUUAAGAACUAACCUUACUUAAGAACUAACAAGCGUUCGCAUCGAUGCCCUAGCUUCGUGUGGAGGGCACAAGACAAGGUAAAGACUUCUUCUCUUGUUAGACGUAAUGUAAUAUUAAUUCAGAGUCGCCAGGCGGGCCUCAGGCUUCAACCCCAUUGAUAUAAAUAAAACAACUCCUCCCUUUUAGACUAUGGAUCUAGCUCCCAACGACGCUCCCCCGAAGAGGUUUCUUUCGAGUAAGCUUGUUGCAUCAAGGCAUGUUUUGACAUUUCGAAAAAGUCACAAGCUUCGUAUAAAGCUUUUAGGAGGUUCAAUUCUGUUAAGGUAGCAUGGAUAACUCAUCUGCUUGUCUGGUGUAAUACUAACUUGUAAAUAAGUGGUGUCAAUAGGAUACAAAUGGAUAAGCGCACGGUAAUGAGGUGGGCAAAGCAAUCCUGAAUGAGCGCACGGACGUACCAUAGCAUUAGGCGGUCAGUCAAUCUAUAUAAAUAGCCAAAUAUCAUUCAUUUCCUAUCCCUUUUUCCAAAGUGUCUUUCCAUUUCAUUAUCUGUUUCCGUAUACUUUUCCUCCACUGAUGAAUUAGCCCUUGCCUUGCCCUAGCUUCCAGAAAAAUAAGUAAACAGCAUCGCGAACUUUGGAUAUUCUGCCUUAAUCAAAUCCAACUCCAUUGAAGGGGAACGAACGCACAUACUAAACCCAUGAAAGCUUGAAACUAGUUGUAUUAUAUUUCCAGAAAAGCUUUCAAGUGAAAGGGCCCGAUGGCUUUCGAUUCUUUUUUGAUAUCUAUAGCCAAAAGAGACCGAAAAUGAGUGAUUUGAAACUGAUUACUUACAUACUGGUGAAACUCUACUGGUGUUUAUGCACAAUAAAUCGAAUUCCCGGAAUUCUCUGUAUCUGUAAGGGUGCACUGGGACUAGAUCCCUUCCUAACUGAACCACUCUCCCAAAAGAAGGGAUUCAAGUGGGGACUGCAAACAAAGGAAACUCGAAAAGGCUCUAGGAACUUCCAUUCAAUGGACCUAGCAAUAGCUGCCAGCAUAGGCUUGUGUUUUUCUUAAAGGAGAUCCGGCUGUAACAGACUCAACGAUGGAAUUAUCCCUUGGAAAGGCAGAGGAGAAUUCGAAAGCUUGAUCACUCGCUUGCGAACUUACUGCAUAAAGGAAUUAACAAGGAGCAACUAACCUUUCUGCGUUAUAACAUUAGGAACCUUACGCCCAUAUGAAAGAAAGCAGCCAAAACUGUAUAUAAGAUCAGAUGAAAGAAAGCAGCCAAAACUGUAUAUAAGAUCAGAGACGGGUUUAGCGAGAAAAGUCCUUAGCUCACACCUAUCUUUGAUCAAAUAAGCAAAAAAGCCAGCGAGUUUAGGUAUAAAGAACAGCCAGUGUCAGAGAGAUUACUUAUGUUUCACUCUUCCUUAUACAUGAAGGGAAUGAAUGCCUUAAUUGAAUGGAAUUCGGGAUCAAAGUGGAUUAGGUGAAGUUAAGGCAAGCAUGAGUUCAACCCUUUUCUCAUCUGGCCAGGAUCGAUAGCCGUUCGACCUGAGUGAAGUGCGGUCAGAUUCCGUAUCCCCAAUUUCUUGGUCUUUCUCAUACUCUAUUAGUUGUCAUAGUUGUCAGAUCAAUUCCCAUGCAUUCUUUAAUGGAAUCGGAAACGGGCAGAGCAGCGGCUAUCCGGAAUGGGGCCUAUGCCUCAACGACUAUCUAUGAAUGACCAGGAUCGGAAUGCCAAUCGACGGGAUGCGCCUACGACAGAUUGAAAGUUCCUACUAUGAUUACAGGCAUCCUCACUUACGCAACGAAAUGACGAAUCCACCGAUCAUAAUAGGAAAGUGAAAGGUUAGCCUCAUACCUUUUAUUGCGAGGUGAAACACUCACCAGGAUACAUGAUCCUAGGCGAAAACAUGAAAGAUGAGCCAAUCAUAUCAUAAGCGGCACCAUCAUUUCCUCCAUAACGCGAGAAACCAACAACUAAUGUUUCAAUGAAUAAACAGCUGAUGGACCACAUAGUUUCUUCUUACCAGCGGAACAGAAGGCUCUUCAAGAUAUUUCCCAAGCAUACCCUUUUAACCAAAGGAAAGGGAUGAGCCGGAAAUCAUAAACAUACCUUUCCAUCAACCCUACUUUUCUCUGGAAAUGACAUUGGCAUAUGCCUCUGUCCUCUGAGCCUUCUCGGAUCGGUAAAGAAAAAGCUGCUUUGUUAGAGUAUUAGGUAGGCACCCACUUUAGGCGCCAAGAUAAUGAGUUUGUUAACACCCAAUAAGUCAAAGUCAAACAGGUUGGAUUACUUUAGUGUCAAAAGGUUUCUCCCGGGGAUUAUAGACUAGACCUAUAUGCUCUGGCUAAGGCUCUAGGUCCACUGAUCAUUAGGUUAAGUCCCUGGUGAUCGAACCAUUACUAUAAGGUUAACUCUGUCCCUCUUUCUUACGAUACAGUUUAGUCCGUCCCUUUACACCAUUAUCAAGUUUGAGUCUUUACAAAGUGCUUCUCUUCUCGGGCUCGGGAAAGCUAUUCAGGCAAGUUCAUUUGCAAGCCUUUAGCCGAAUAAAGCUAUCAGCAAAACUGGCACCUCACCUUUUGUCUGGCCCAAAAGCAAGGAACAGGCAAUUCUCUAAGACAAACUGAUUCCACUCAAACAGACCAGCGGGCAACUCACUUUCCUGUCGGCUUCUGUCCCGGAUCCGGUUCCUAUUUCUGAUCUUGACUCGGAACUAGAAGAACCAGACAAGUCACUGCCUCUCUCGCCUGCUCUUCCUGUCUUUUAUUCUAUCUAUUUGAACAAGUAGCGGUUGGUUUAGGGCCUAUAUCGUGUACCUUACUUCUAUUAAUGCCGAGCUUUCUUCUUGUUAUCAUUGGUUUGAUUAUUUGACUUACUUGUUUCCAGCCUUUGGAUUCCCUGUUAGUAGCUUCAGUCUUAUAAGCAUUGGUUCUAUCCAUGCAGAGGGGUCUUAUAAAUAGUAGUUACAGCCCGAGAAGCAGUAGCGGAGUUCCUAGUUGAGUUCAAUGAACCCGGUAGACCAGAAAGAGAGUUAGGGUGAGGCUCAAGAGGUAAACCAGUGAGUGAAAUUCUUGGAUUCUAUUUAGCCAAACUAUCCUUUCCUCGUCCUGCACAUCUUGUCAAUUUACCUACUCCGGAAAGGAGAUACUUCCCUAAGACAUUCAGCUACUAAUGACUCGGUAAACGGGAAACUCCCCCUUUCCAUAAAACGGGUAAUGAUGUAAUGAUGUAAUGAGAACCCGAGCCCGCCUCAAAAGGAGUACUAGGUGCAGAGGAAACAAAUCAUUGAACCCUGUAUCGGAGUCAGAGAACGAAUUCUGAUUUAUUAACUGAAAGUCCUGUGUUCAUGACGGCUGUGAGUAAUAACUACUAACUGACUUUCUACAACACCAACACAACCACUUGAUACUGACACUUGGGCGUGAGGAGCUAUUGCUAACAAAAGUACUUUCUUUCUGCCCUUACUUACUUAUCUAAAGUACUUUCUUUCUGCCCUUAUUUACUUAUCUAGGGUUUGAUAAGGCCUAAUAUAUAAUUCGGGAAGGGCCAAGCAACAUAGUUAGUUGCGCGGCAGUAAGUCAUAGUUAUGUAGAAGUUAUUACAAUAGAUGUUUUCAUGGGAAAAAGAGCAGUGAAAUCAAUCUCUUUCGUUGCUUGGUUCCAUCCGUUGAUGUAUGGGUAUGGCUCCAUCGGUCCGGCCAUUGUAGCUCCCAUUCUUUCCUCCUAAACCCCACCCAUAACAUAAGGUGCUGACUUCUCUGCUAAUCAAACCCCUUUCACUAUCUCCAGCUGGAAUCUUAGCUCUGUCUUGGUAUUCUUCGCCAGGCCAUUUCCCAUCCUAAUGCCCCAACAUCCAUCAAUCACAGGAACCCAACAUAAAUCAAUCAAUGCUUAAAACAUCGAGAUAUAGGAUUUCGAAUGGCAGUAUAGUUGAAAAGAAAUGAGGCGCUGGUUGCUGCUCACUCAAGUAAGGGCAGUGUUACUAAAUUCUCAAAUAGGUAGGUGAACUCUCAAUUCCUCCAAAAUGGAUAUAUGAGAUGAACUUCUACUUUCGACUUUAGACUUCUCUUGCAUUAACUUGCGCUAACGUUUAUUGAGCAUAAGUGCGUUAGAAGGAGUUCCACAAUUCCAAGCGUUCUGUAAAGUAAUCAAAGAAUAUCAUAUAAGUGUGCACACAAUCCAAUCAUAUAACUGACAGAUUCUAUAAGUUAGUAACUUCCCUGCUGACAGCUUCCUUCAAAACUGACUUCAUUGUGCGAAACUCUAAACUUGUUUAAGGCCCUUACUUAAACUAACUCACUAACCGCUAUAGGGCUUUAUCACCUUUUACAUAUGAGAGAAGAACACCUACAAUGUACUUUUACAUAUGAGAGAAGAACGCCUACAAUGUAAUAGAAAGUAUAGUAACAAAGCGAACCUAGCACUAUAACACCCCGGUAACAAAGCGAACCUAGCACUAUAACACCCCGAAACUCACUCGAAUAAUCAAUAUAUACAUGCGCGCGCCCCGGUAGUGAGUCAGUGCCGCAGUAGCUCAAAGUCGUUCAGUGUAUAAAAUAAGAUAUAUGCUUCUUUUGGCUUUCUUUGUAUACGAGUGGAGUUACCAGGGUUCUAUAAUCUAAAUUGGAACAGUGAAUUUGAAUAGAGUCUAUCAGGUCUCAUUUCUAUAAGUAGUAGCUUUGCUUUGCUUGUUUAUUGGAAAUGCUAGAUAAUCUUCCAUGAUAAGGUUUUUCACCGAGAAUAGUUUGAUUUCACAUACGGGCGAGCUCUGUUAGCACAAGAUCGUCUUCUUCUCCUGGCCUGAAACCCACUACGGAAUGUGGAAACUUAUCUAAAUAAUAGCAAUACUUAGGACGCUUUAGAUCAGCUUUCUACUUAGGACGGCUUUAUAUCCGCUUUUCUUUUUGGGGUGAGAAAUCUAAUACUAAACGGUUCAAAAGGGGCCAAGGGCCAAGCUUAGUAGUUAGUUGGCACCUAGUUGUCUAGUAGUUGCUUGGUCAUUAGUAGUUACUUGUCUAGUCGUUGCUUGGCCGUUAUGACUGUCAUUUGGCUGACGCCGAAAACAGGACUUGGUUAUACUUUGUAAUAUCUAUUACCUUGGCUACCGCCCAACGUCUUGCUUAGCCUAAAACUCACUGCCGUUUCACUCAACUCCUACCGCUUUUCAGCUCGCUGACGCGACAGCGAACACAUAACUAGUAAUAACUGGGGAACUCUAGCGGCCCUGCCGCGCAACAUUAGUAGUUGCUUGGCCCUAUUGUUGUUACUGCCGCCGAAAACAUCUACGAAGACAGUUUAAAGCUCCUCCGCGACACAUUAGCAGUGUCUUGGCGGCUAUAGCUCCUGCCGUACAACGUCUUUCGCCGUUGCUUGGCCGUUAUAACUGGUUAUUUGCUGCCGCGUCACAUUAGCAGCUCAAUAACUCCUGCCGCGCAACGUUAGUAGUUGCUUGGCGGCCGGCUCACCGUUGCUUGGCGUCUAGUAGUUACUUGGCCCAGUCCUGUUGUUGGUGACGAGCGGUGCAAGGGUGCUUGCUAUAUAGGUAAGGGCUGAGUCCUGUCUUCAUGGGACAAGAGGUUUGACUACUCCCUAAAAUCAGAAUACAUAUUAGUUGGCUACGAGGGAGGUUAGAGUGUCGGUGCCCUAGCUAUUAAGUCGUAGAGAUCAGAAACGGGGCGGAGCAGACCACUUAAAGAAUGCAACAUAUACGCAUGAGCUGAGCAACUUUCUCAAGAGAAUAUAUAAGUGAUCAGGAGCUGAGCAACUUUCUCAAGAGAAUAUAUAAGUGAUAUAGAUAAUAAGUGAUCCAGCUUCUUGCCACAACUCGUGUAUACUCGGUUAAGCCUUACCUCUGUCAACUAAUUCAAUUACAAUAUCGGAAGAAACAGAAUCUUUAGCCGAGGCGGGGGGAUGUAAUAGACAUCUAAUCAGACUUUGGAUAAGGAGCUAACAAGCAGACACAAGUCUCAAGGACCAAGCGGACUCCUCAUUAAGUAGACCCUAGACAAUGGAAUUCUUUCCUUUAAGAAUAUAGUUUACUUACCGCCUAUAGGGCUCUCAAAAUACCCUUGCAAUAAUACAAGCGACUACUCUAGCAUGGGAAGCCGAAUCUACUCUUUUGAAUGCCUACUAUGCGCUCAAGGGAAUAACCACCAGUUCUUGGACGUAUUAUGGAGGCUUCUCUACUUCUACUCAAAAGUAUUCUACUAGAUACGAAUUCCACUCGCCCAGCAGAGCCAGCAGGGUUCACAGAGAAAUAGCAUUUGCAUCUUUGACUUUACUUGCAGCCGGGUAAUGAGUUAUAAGUGAGUCCUGCAUCCGCCCUUAAACUAGAUCAUACCUAUGCUUAGUAUUAAGAAAAGAAUGAGGAUUGAAGCGUUAGGUUGAGUUUUGAAUUAAGCCUUAGUGAGUGGUACGUAAGGCGGGACAGUCUGUUGACGACUUGGAUCACGACAGCGGGACAAUCCGUUUUAGUUUCGUCUCUUUAGGUGCUUGCUUGUUAGUGAGUUCGCCGUUGAAGACUUAUAUUCUUCCCCUAUUCUCAAGAAGCGAGGGCAAUAAGAGAAGGGAAUAGAGUUUCUCGGUAUAGAAAUUCUAUUGGUCAUUAGAUAGGUGAUUGUGCUCUCGUAUCAAAUCCAUAAUGGAAUGUUUCAUCGAAGGAAGGCGAAAGUAGAAAGGAUAAGUAAAGCUUGUCAGCAGCAAGGAAAGGGGAGUGGUCGUUAACUCAUUGAAACUAAUAAACUGGCCUGAGAAUGCAUUUGGAGUGUAUACCUUAACCAUCUUCCGUAUCAGCAGGAGCGAGAGAAGGCCUAAUAUAUAAUUAGGGAAGGAAUUCUAGUAUUGAGUGCUCUUAGUUGGAAUUGCAAGUAUUAAUUGCACCCUUAUUAUAAUCCGCAAGAGAAGAGUAGAGGGAUAGUUGCCUGAGUUGGAUGAGCCGGGAGUUAUAGUAGAAUAGAAAUUCUAUAAGAUGAAAUGAAGCAAGUCAUAAUGAAGUGUUUGUUGACAGAGCCCGAGUAGCCAGAGAAGAUAGAUUGGCAGUUGCCAUAGGUAGAUUAGCCUGAGUUCAAAGAGCCCGAGUGAGGUUGUUUUAGGGUCAAGAGUACAGAGCAAGAGUUUAGGUCGGAACAGAAUUAGCGACUGCUGAGGUUUAGUCUCCAGGCAAAGUAUAAAGAAUAGAGUAUCAUAUACAAGCUAGAGCAGUAGAAGAAAAAGUAUCAGAUGCCAAAGAUUGAGCUGGAUGAGAUGAUGCAGAAGAAGUCACCCAUAAAGUAAGAAUGGAAUUCGAUCUUGCCCCCUAGUCUAGUGCUCUUAACGGAAAUCCUAUUCGGGUAGGGCUCUGUGCAAGGAAACUCCAUUCUGGUAUUCGGGAUUCUAUAACUCCUUUAGCGCCAAAGGAACAGUGACUUAUU